GCCGUCCCCGGGAUCCUGGUGCCGGAAGCUCUGGGCCUGGGCAACUGGGUGAAGGCGCAGGAGUGGGCGGCCGUCCCCGGCGGGCAGGCCACGUACCUGGGCGCCCCGGUGCCGUGGGGCACGCUGCCGACCAUCCUGGUGAUCGAGUUCGUGGCCAUCGCCUUCGCCGAGCACCAGCGCACCAUGGAGAAGGACCCCGAGAAGAAGAAGUACCCCGGCGGCGCCUUCGACCCGCUCGGCUUCUCCAAGGACCCCGCCAAGUUCGAGGAGUACAAGCUCAAGGAGAUCAAGAACGGCCGCCUCGCCAUGCUGGCCUUCGUCGGCUUCUGCGUCCAGCAGUCGGCGUACCCCGGCACCGGCCCGCUGGAGAACCUCGCCUCCCACCUCGCCGACCCGUGGCACAACAACAUCGGCGACAUCAUCAUCCCCAGAUCAAUCUCCCCUUGAGCUCAGCUCAGCUGCUGGUUGCUGUUUCCUGUGUACGACUAGGCCCUGCCUGUACAACGAGCGACGACGGUGACUUCCCGCCCGGAAAUUAAACCCUCGUAAUGUAAAGCUUAUGUUAUUAAGUAGCGGCUACUCUUGUAGUCUUGUCUGUAUCAAAUAUAAACUGGUUUGUUAGCUGAAUCCCAAGGUUAUUUCUGAGCCUAACCAGGGGAAAUUUAGCUCAAAACGGAGAAAAUACAUACGAGACCUUUGAUAACUACAAAGUAUUGUAUUUCAUGAGCUAGACACGAUGUUUUUUUUUAAGAUUCACGAGGGAGAGCCUCUACUGAGAUUUUAUUAGAAAUGACAAAAGAAAAUGUUACAACUUAGCCUAGUUACAAAACGUAAUCCAAAAGAUCUAAUUAUGUAGUUUACAAGCAAUGUAGCAAGUAGAACAACUCUUAUGUCUGCCACGAACUCAGCCAAUUCGGGAUGAAAAUGUAAAAUUCACACGCGCUCUGUUAAUGAUCAACCACAGCUCCUUACAGAAUUCUUGCGUACAGUGAUAAACCGAAGGAUCUUUAUUUGUAAAUAGCCAUUCAUUUCGGCUUUUCCAGAUGCUCCAAGUCAUGAGAAUGAUAAUCUCCAUAGAGAAAAGGACGUUAAGUUGGUGUUUAAGGUUUGCUGAGGCCUCCUCUGGAUUAGAAAUUCUGGGGGUUAUUCCAAUUGAGUUCCAGGAGGCUUUUGCAAAAUUGCAUCUGAGGAACAAAUGAUAAAGCGUCUCCUCCCUUUGCCAUAAACAAUUCUCACAUGAGUAAGAUUCCAGGGUCAUGUUUUUCCUUCUUAGCAUAUCUCUGGUAUUUAGUCUAUUUUUAAGCCACAGCCAAUAGAAAACUCUAUGCUUAGGUUGGUGCUCUUCCAUAAGUGUUUGUAGAUAGGGUGAACCUGCGUCUGGCCCAUAAAGUGCCUGUAAGCUUUUUGCGAAGAGUAGUUGUCAGAGCCCCAAAUGUAUCGCCAACGGUCGUGAACAUUACUGAGGGCAAUUUGCUCCGAGACCACCUGCAACUCCAGAUACUGAUCAUAAGCUUGCUCAGAAAUAGGCAAAUGGAAAAAACCAGCGAACUGAUUCUGCUCUUUAGCUUCUUUGAUAGAUAGCUUUGUGUUUUUGACAAAAGAGAAUAGUUCUGGAAAUUUUUGUCUUGGGAUGUUCUGGCUCCACUGAUCAUCCCAGAACGAAAUUGAUCUACCAUUGCCAAUGACUGGGUGCGCCAGGCCCUUAAAGUUGGGGAGGAGCUUGAUCAUGCUCUUCCACCAGAAAGAACCAAUGUUUCUAUGACCUGGCAGUCCACUGGACAAAUAGUAAUUAUUCUAGAUGAGAUUCACCCAUGGUAAGUCACUGUUAUUGAAGAAUUUAUGCAAAAAUUUGAUCAGAAGAGCCUCGUUUUGAGUUUCAAGGCGAAGCACCCCUAGCCCGCCAUUCACUUUUCUCUGAGUAACCGAAACCCAAGCAAUCAGAGGCGAUUUCUUGGAACUAAGGUCAUUCCCUCUCCACAGACAGUUUCUCCUGAAGAUGUCUAUUUGCUUAAUGAUGGUUUUAGGAAUCUUGAGCGUACACAUAAAGAAGGUUGGCAGAGCUGAAAAGACUGAAUUUACCAACACCAAGCGCCCAACUUGGGAUAAAAAAUUUGAAGAGCAUGACAAUCUCUUUUCAAUCCUUUGGAUAAGAGGCAGAAAGUGCUGCUUUCUGGAUUUCGCAAGGCCCAAAGGCAAUCCAAGAUAGGUGAAUGGCAUUCCUCCAAUCUGGCAGUUGAGAGUUCGAGAGAGGAUCUCCAUCUUCUCUGAAGGCACAUUUAUUGGAUACAUAUUUGAUUUGUUAUAGUUUACCUUUAGGCCAGUAGAAGUCUCAAAUGAGUUGAGAAUUGCCUUAAGGAAGAAAAGUUGCUUUGGACAAGCCUCUAGAAUCAAAAGAGUAUCAUCUGCAUACUGAACAAUCGGGAAAUCCAGGUCACCAAUAGCAGGUAAAGGAAGCUUAAGAAGAUUCAAAAGCCUGGCCUUAUUAAUAAUGCUCUGAAGAAGGUCAGCCGCCAAGACGAACAACAGUGGCGAAAGAGGGUCUCCUUGUCUAAUACCUCGCUUGCAAUGGAAGGAUUUACCAGGGACGCCAUUGAGCAACACCGAAGAAGUGCCAGAAAGAAGGAUGCUCCGAACCCAAUUAACCCACUUAGGACCAAAGCCUUUGUGGAUCAAAACUUGAAGAAUCAGUUCAUGCUCAACAGUGUCAAAAGCCUUUUCGAAGUCUAGUUUAAGCACAAUGAUUUCUUUCUUUGAGGAGUGGCAUAAGUGAAUGUAUUCAUAAGCCCAAGCCAAGCAAUCCUGAAUAGAUCUGCCCUUGAUGAAACCAUAUUGGUUCCUAUGAAUUAAUCGAGACAUGAACGACUGCAGACGAUUUGCCAAAAGCUUCAUUAGGAUUUUCAUACUAUUGUUUAAUAACGAAAUUGGCCUAUAAUCUCCCACCUUCUGCGUAUUCUCCUUCUUCGGGAUCAAAACAAUGAAGGACCCAUUAAUACUUCUUAGGCAAACUUCACCAUGAUAGAAUUUUUCACAAAGAUCAUAGAAGUCUUGAGCAAUGAUAUGCCAACACUUCUUAAUGAAGUUGGUAUUGAAACCAUCAGGACCAGGAGAUUUAUCCGAAGGUAAUGAUUUUAUAAUGCUGUCAAUCUCCAUCUUAGUGAACGGGGUGUCUCACUCGUGAAGCUCCUCAUUACGGAUUAAAAGCUCUGGAAGGUCAAAAUCAAUGCCUGAGAAAUCAGACGAUCCCAAUCUGCACUUGAAAGCAUCCCAGAGGAGACCAGAUUUAUGUUCGUGCUCAAAAUGUAUGACCCCAUUCUCGUCAGUCAAAGUGGCAAUUGAAUUUUUCCUGUGUUUAAUGGUGGCAUGAGCAUGGAAGAAACGAGAGCCAAUGUCACCAUCAGUUACCCACUUAAUAGUCGCCCGCUGCUUCCAAUAAAUUUUCUGAAUGUUCAGUAGAUCGGCCACUUUUUGCUGCAGAAUAUCUCUGAAAUUCCAUUCCUCAAUAGAAAGAUCCCGAUGCUCUUCCAUAUUGUCUAUAAGUUCAAUUAGUAGCUUGAUGUUUUGCACCGUUUUAUCAAUUUUUGGCAGCGAUCUCUACCAAUCCUUCAGAACCUUUCGAACACACUUAAACUUGGCAGUCAGGUUUUUAGCCUUGUCAGGAAGGCAAGGGAGCCCAGCCCACGUGGUUUGAAAGAAAUUCAAGAAACCGUCCAAUUCGAGCCAGAAGUUUUCAAACCGAAAAAUUUUAGGUUUAGGGAUCUUGGACUUAAAAGAAACCAGGCAAGGAACAUGGUCAGAGAUGUCUCCCGGCAUCGUUUUGGCACAGAAAUCUGGAUAAACGAUCGACCAUUCUUGAGAGAUGAAAAACCAAUCCAGCCUCUGAAGAAGGGGUUCCCUCUGUCUGUUCGACCAGGUGUAUGCUAAGCCGUGAAGGGGAAUUUCAAUCAAAUCUAAGUUGCUUAUUGCUUCAUUGAACUUCAGCAUUAAGUUAAUAUCACCCCCAGCCUUAUUUCUGUCUUUAGGCCGACGAAUUAAAUUUAAGUCCCCAACAAGGAGCCAAAGCUUGUCAGAAGGCAUAGAAAUAUUAUGCAGCCAAUUGAGGAAAUCGAUUUUCCCUUGUGAAGUACAAGGAGCAUAAACGUUUGUAAUAAUCUAGGAGCAAGCCGAUAAAUUUGAAGUAAAUUCCACCGACUGAGCAUAAUCAUUUUGGAAGAUAACAUUUCCUGAAAGUUUUGAGCUUUUCCAGAUGAUAACUGAACCUCUCGAGUUCCCCACCGAGGGAACAAAAGCAAAUGAAUCAAAUUGAGAAGGACAGAAGUUUUUUAGGUAAAACGAAUCAAAGAGAUCCUUUUUUGUUUCUUGUAGACAGAUAACAUCGCAUCUAGAAUCCCGAAUUGAACAACGAAUGGCGUUCCAUUUAAUAGUAGAAUUAAUUCCUCUAACAUUGUAACUCAGCACAGACCACUCCAAAUAAUUAACAUCAUUUAAGUUACUCAUUGAGUAAACUAGAAGUUUUUGAGCCAGAACGAUACCCAAAACAGUGGGUAAAAUAAGUGUCAGUCGGCAAGCAAAAGAGGAACAUAAAGGUAAAACAAGCACGCACAGGUGCCAGCCAAGUAUCUAGAAGUCCUGGGAAGACCCAACCCAUAAACAUGCACACCCAAAAGUUAGAGGGGCAAAAACCAUAGCCCAGACCACCCGCCUUCCACCUAGUGCUUAUCUUGCUUAUCCUCAUCUGUUGAGCCAUCAGUCCUCUCAUCAUCCGAAUCCUUUCUGCUUGUCCUAUGCUGGCCAACAGAUCCCACAGCAGAUUUCUUCUUCUUCAAACGGCGCUCAGAUAAGUCGUCAUAUGACAAGUUGCAGAACCCGCUCCCCAGAUUCUGAAUCACCUUGGAGGACAGCAAGGGUGGGCCAUCAAAGUUAUGCUGGCACAUGAGACAAUUCCUUUUUGGGCAGGCCCCAUUCCUGAACCCACCAUGUGAUUCCUUCAAGCGCUUACUUCUUCUGAGUUCAGACUCCACAAUGAUAGGUGCCGGGGCAUCACAACUGUCCGAUUCUUUGGAGCUCUCAGAAAGGACAUCAUCUAGAAGUUUAACAUUCGGACAUUCCUUAGGGAUGGCAAAAGGUAAAGAUUUCAGUCCCGGUUCUAGCAGAGUUGAGGGAAUUGCUGAUAACAGAAAGGACUUCUACCAACUGAAGGCUUCAGGUUGAAGCAGCUUCGAAAGAAAAAAGGGUGCCCAGUUCUUUGCGAUAUCCACCGAGGGGUCAGUUGACCCAGCAGGUGCAAAGUACAUGGCCCAAAGUCUGGAGAACUGGGCAGCUCUUUUCCUCUCCUCAAACAUCUGAAACACAGGGUCAGGUUGCCAUCCCUGAUUGACCAUGAAAUUCAUCUCUAAAUUCUGGAAAUGGUUAUUAUUUGGAUCCCCAACUUGGGCCUAAUGCGGCAAAUCAGCAAUACCAGGGACAGGGUCCACUUGAAGCGCCGGGCCAUCAACCUCCUGAGGCCCAUUGAAUGCAGCAAUAUUGACAGCAAGCCCAUCCCCUGGCAAAAUAGGACCAUUCUCAACAACAUGGCCAUUCUGUAGAGGUGCAACUUGACCAGCGCCAAAGGAACUAUCCGACGACAAGCCUGAGUGCUGAUUACUGAGUUGAAGCUCAUCCGGUUGAAUGGGUUGCAAAUCAGGCUGAAAGGGCUGCAGAAUCUGUUGAUUGGGUUGAACAUUUUCGAUCCACUAGUCCCAAUCCCCAUGGGCAUUGUCAUCCUGAAGAGCCGGCAAAUCACCACCCGCAUUCCCCGACGGGAAAUUUAGGUCAAGCCCAACCGGGGGCAUUGGCUGACCCAGACCGAAGAAAACCAAGGGAAGUUGCUGACCAUCUUCCGGGGCAGGAGGAAUAGGGUCCUCAUCCUGAGCCUGCCCGCCAAGCAUGUUUUGCUGAAUAAUCUCACACUGAACAGUCCAAGAAUCACCAACGAAGCCCUCAGCCUCCAAAAAAACAAUGAAUUGAGGAACUUCUUCAAAGGAAGUGACACGGACACGAAGCAAGGUUCUAGAAACAUUACUCCGAUCCUCCUCCCAAAGAAUCAACCUGCAAACGACCCAAUGGCUGCUUGCAAGUACUCCGAGGAACAGUAAUCCAGGGGAAACCCCAGUAGCAUAAGCCAACAAUCAUGGUUGAACAAAAGAGCCCGAUGAUUCCAGGCGUCAUUGUGGCGAACAUCAGUGAAAGUAGCAUCUAAGUAUUGUUGGGGGCCAAGCAGAACCAAAUUGUCUCGCUCCAAAACACUGCGAAACUGCACUAGCACCUGGCCCAAAUGAGAGCGCUGGAUGGCUCUAACCCCAACCCUUCGAUGUUCCACAAGGUACUCUCUGACCACAUCUCUGACCGCAGGGAACAAGACCUCAUGCUCAGGUAAAGGAUGAAUAUUGAUAAUCGCCCAUUCUUCAUGCAUUGGCGGUAAUCUCUGCAAGACUGACCUGACAAUGAUUUCAAGAUGCUGCACCGCCGAAGCGUGGAAGCCUGGCGGGAGGAAAGGCUCCGGGUCGACGCGCCGGUACGCCAUAGCAAGAUUUUCCGAAGAUCGCCGGUGAGCCGAAGGCAAGGUAGCGGUUUGGGGUUUUGGUGAAGUCACACCCAGCGAGAGCUCCAAGGACGCUACGGGCGCCUGUUCGUAUUUUUUAAUAAGACCGCCCUGGCAAACUCCUCGAAGCAGGCAAAUAUGGGAGGGGCCCCAGCCGUCAGAGACCCCGGGGUAGGGCGGAACCAGGAGCCGUAAACCGGGAAAUGAGACGUCCCUUCCAAAAGGCAAUUGCUUUCAAAGGAAGGGAACGAAGCGAGGGGAAAUCCGAAUACUGUUUUCUUAAGAUUGCAAAACAAUUCCAAAUGCCCCUUAACUUUACAAUAGUGGCAGAGAAACACUGAGGGAGCCGCACCAGACGAACCAGCCUUCACAGAGAUGGAAGAGGCCGAAGGGCCAGGCCCAGGCAUGAAAGGCCCAUUGCGCAGAAUGGGCCGCCAAUGAAGCUUACGGAUCCUGAGGAGACCAGCAUUUGAAUUUGAAAAAGGGCGAUCAUCAUGCCCCUGACGACCACGUCUAAUCAAGCUUCCGUUGUGCCUAGGAAAACUCACCGAAGAAGAAAGCCUGAGAGGAGGAUUGCUUAUCGGGGUUCCCGAGGACUUAGCAAAGACUGAAUACUGCGAGCCCCGAGCCCCUGAAGAGGUUCCCAAUCUUUUGAAGACAGAUAGCCUUGGCUCCUCCAAAUUACCAGGGAAGCGAGGAGACAACCUACGUCGACGAAUUGGAACAGCGUUCGCACCAGUCAACGGCGGAAUCCUAACAAUAUUAGCAAACGAUUUUUUUCUUGCCCUUAACAAACCACCAGUUGGCAUUUUCCUCCUGAAGAAAUAAUCUGUAUUCGUAGAUCCAAUUUCGUCCACCAAAGUUCCACAAGUUGAAGAAAGCCUUGAAUUCCGGAUGAACAAUGCAUUUAGAAUUAUAAAUGUGAAAACCAACAGCCUUGGAGGAAACUGUGAAGCGGAACACCCGAUCAGCAAGCUGAGAAACAUUGAAUCCCCUGGCAAAACCACCCAGAGCAGCUUGAAGAAGAUGACUAACUGAAACCGAGUCAAGCUUGAAGAUGCAGCGGCCAAACGAGACCACCAGCCAAAAGGCCGACGGACAAUCUGGACUUCUAGAACACACAGGGGAGGCAAACCGGCGCCUGACAUCAUCUUCGAAUAGCAAACCCGGUCGAAAGUCCAGCCUUGACAAAUCCAUCACGCAAGAUGAAGAAGACCAAGAAGAGGGGAAUGGAAAAGCACAGACGCGAGGUGAUACAAACUCGAGAGACAACCAAAGACGAAGAGGAUGCAGCUAGCAGACAAGAGCCCACCGUCAGGAUCCUCCACGGAACAAGCACACGACCGACCCCAAUGAAGCCAUCAGCGAAGCAGGAGCCUGUACCCUGGGCGGUUAGGCCGUUCCUAGCUAGACACGAUGUUGUUGGCGAGAAUAAUAAUUUCAUCAUGAUGGAUGAUUUCGUCCAAGAUGUGGUUGAUGUCCAGGGUGAAAAUGAUGGGGAGCUUAGUGAGGAGACCUUGGAGGUCCUCGAGGAUGCAUAGUUCUUUGAUGAAUUCAUUAACCACCUCAAUAAUGAUGACCUUCUAUUUGGGAGCCCAUGGUGGAUAGAGAGCCUCAAAGAAUUGAAACAUGUGACAAUGGGUCUGCUCUAUAAGGAUUGUCCAAAGGAAUGGAGGAUGUUGUAUUUUGAUCUCCAAAUGUGGAUGUUGAAGGGUCUUUUUGGAUGGUCCUACACUAGCUUCAAUGAGUUGCUAAGUAAUCUUGGUUCUGUGCUUCUAAAGGACAAUAAAGUGCUCGCCAACAUUUAUCGAGCGAAGGAGCUAAUAUGGCUAGUGUCACAAAGUCUUCAAAAGAUCCGCUCUUGUCCUAACCAUUGUAGAAUAUACGGGGCACCCAAUAUAUGAGCUUAGGGAGCUAUCCACACCAUGACACGAGUCAAUACAAGAGGAAUGUUUGGUCUCGCGUGGAUGCGAACGACGAGAGAGCCUUGAGUGAGAAAAAGAAGGUGACCAAGAAGAGUAGUGUGAAUUGUUGGACCGGAUCGACGGCGAACAGCGCAAAGAACUCAGUGUAGCGCAGUGCCGCCGGAGCGCGAUCACCACGUCUCAACGGAAGAGAGGACACAGUUGUAUUUUCUGUUGCUGCAACUGUGCAACCUUGCAAAUGCAUUCAACUGGGAAUUAAAACACCCGGAUCCGUCUUCCCCGCUGCACUCAACUGCUGCGAGACGUGCCGUAAUUUCAGCAACGUCCGCGACAUGCACGGCGAGCUAAGUCGCAGCGAAAAAACGCCCUUUGAAGCGGUCACGGCGAGGACUGAGUGCACCCAUCAGUCCGCCCAUGAUUCUACGCUGAAUUACAAAAAUGCACGCGCAAUCUAAAACAAACUAAUGCACCUACUAACAAUAUCCCUGACAAGAUUACAGUGAGGCUACUGCAACAUUUACCCCCCAUAAUCUUGUUAAUCUGCAAUUCGAAUUAUUCCAAGCUGUCUCCUCAACUCUGUGAACCGAAUUCUUCCCAGAGGCUUCGUCAAGAUAUCUGCUAGCUGAUCAUCUGAACUUACAUGUUCAAUAUCAAGAACACCACUGCUCACACACUCCCUAAUGUAAUGAUACCGGGUGUCGAAUAUGUUUACUUCUCUCAUGGUACACAGGAUUUUUGCUCAGUUCUUGUGCCGACCGGUUGUCUAUCAAAAGCUUCAAACUCUUCUGCUCAGUACCCAGUAGGUCUGCAAGAAGCCGGUUUAACCAAACACCUUGAUAGGCUGCUAUUGCAGCUGCUAUAUAUUCAGACUCACACGAUGAAAGUGAUACUACCUUUUGUUUCUGAGAAGUCCAGGUGAUUAUGUUCGUACCCAGAAAGAAAACUACACCACUAGUACUCUUUCUCUUUACAAGAUCUCCAGCAUGAUCACUAUAUCUGAGUAUCCGAAAAGUUCUGACGCCACCCCUCUUAGGUAUCUACACCCGAGAUGCUUUGUGCCUGAUAUAUAGCGGAUAAUUCUCUUGACAGCAGCCCAAUGUUCUGCAUUUAGUGACUCCAUCAAUCUACUAACCAUUCCCACCGCUACUUUUUGUUCUCGUAGCAGACCUAUUACAGUGCAUCAUUAACAAGGCUCAUCAACUUGGCCUCCUUCAGCUCCCCUUGCCACCCAAAGAUGGGGCUGGAUUUCCGAUUAUACAAUAUGCCGAUGAUACAAUUAUUGUCAUGAAAGCCUCACAAAGGGAGCUUUUCUGCUUAAAAGCUUUGCUCGAGAGUUACGCCCUAUCAACAGGGCUAAUAAUCAACUACGUAAAAUCCUGUUUAGUUCCUAUCAACACUGACAGUAAAAAAACUAAACUUCUUGCUGGUCUCUUUGGUUGCAAGAUUGAAUCUCUUCCCUUUACAUAUUUGGGGCUACCGAUGGGGACAACAAAGCCAAGGGUUGAGCACUAUGGACCCAUUAUGAGCAAGAUUGAAAGGAAGGUAACCUCCAUCUCUUCUAUGUUGUCACAUGCAGGGAGACUUCAACUUGUCAACUCUGUCCUCUCGUCUCUACCAACAUACGCCAUGUGCACCUUACAAGUUCCAGCUGCGGUCUUGGAGUACAUUGACACAGCCAGACGACACUGUUUGUGGCGUAAUUCUGAUAGCAAUGCAAAAUCUAAGCCUCUGGUGGCUUGGAAUAAAUGCACACGACCAAAGAAAAAAGGUGGUCUGGGGGUCAUCAACCUAAGAAGCCAGAACUCGUAUCUCCGAAUGAAAUUUCUUCACAAGCUCUACAACAGGAAACAAAUCCCUUGGGUUAACCUGGUUUGGAAUACCUACUACUCUAACGGCAAGACCCCUCAUGCAUCCAAGUUCAUGGGCUCAUUUUGGUGGAGAGACGCCCUUAAACUUUGUGAUCUCUUCAGAGGAAUCUCCAACUGUAAGGUUGGAGAUGGUAAAACUGUUCUAUUUUGGCAUGAUUUAUGGAAUGACAACAUCUGCAGAAACAAAUUUCCAAGGCUUUUCACCUUCGCAAAAAAUCAAAGCAUUUCGGUUGCUUCCUUUUUGACUUAGGAGAACUUGACAGACAAUUUCCACUUACCCCUUACUGAGCAAGCAAACACCGAGCUGCAACAGCUCCUGGAUGAAGUGCAACAAAUUCGAGAAUCAGUGAUUGAACCAGAAGAGAAAGACUCUUGGAGUUAUAUUUGGGGGAAUAACACCUACUCGUCAACUAAACUUUACCACUACACUUUCAAAAAUGUGAAUCCUCCAAAACCAUUUCUCUGGAUCUGGGAGUCCAGAUGUUCAAACAAGCUUAAAGUCUUCGCCUGGCUACUGUUGAUGGACAUGCUGAACACCAUAAACAUCCUAAAGAGAAAGAACUUUAAGGUGCAAGGCGACAACUACAGGUGUGCUCUUUGUCAACUUCAAAGAGAAGAAACUGCCUUCCAUUUGUUUUUCAAUUGCCCUUUCAGCAAAGACUAUUGGAGACAUCUGAAUAUUCAGUGGAACCACCAUAUUGACUUCUUUGCGACCUUUCAACAAGCCAGGGACUUGCACGGUUCACCAUUCUUUAUGGAGGUCUUUAUCAUAGCAGCUUGGCGAAUCUGGAAGCAAAGAAACAGUUUUAUCUUUGACAGGGGACGACCAUCUUUCAUUGGCUGGAAAAAAGAAUUCCGCGCCGAAGCUCUUCUGCAAGCUAAUCGCUUUUCUGAAGAGAAAUCAACUCUUUUCUCCUCGCUUGUGAAUUCCUAUAGAUAGGAGAUAGUUUUUUUUCCUGUGCUUUAGUUAGUUUCCUUCUAGUUUAUGUCUUGGGAGCGACUGCUAAUGCUCUUUAUCCGUCUUCUUCUUUAUAUUAAUAUAUAUCUACCACAACAGGGGCUUCCCUUGCUGUACAUUUUCAAAAAAAAAGUAGGACAGGUCAGGUCUGGUAUUUACCAAAUACCUCAAGCUAACAACAAUACUCCUAUAUCUAGUUGCGUCCAAACUGUGUUUAGGUUUACCUGGUGUCAGUUUCAGAUGUUGCUCCAUUAGAGUGUCAACUGGAUUACAACAUGUCAUACCACAGGCUUCAAUUAUUUUCUCUGCAUAGGCACUCUGGCCAAUGGUUACUUCACCUGGAUUUUGUUUUACUUCAAUGCUGAGAUAGUAACUCAGUAGACCCAGGUCACUCAUACUAAAGGUAGCCAUCAUCUGCUGUUUGAAAACAGCUAUGCACUCUCUGUCAGGGCCACAUAUAAUAAGGUCAUCCACAUACAGCCCAACUAGUAGCAAACUCAUUUCCACCCCUCUUCUGUAAACUGCAUGCUCUUUAAGGCUCCUUUGAAGCCCAGUUGACCAUUUCAAGAUCAAGUCUGGCAUUCCAAGCUCUAGGAGCCUACUUCAGUCCAUAUAGAGCCUUUUUUAGUCUUAGAACCUUUCUUUUUGAAUUUGAAUCAGAAAAACCUGGUGGUUGGUUUACAUAUACUUCUUCCUUGAGAUCCCCAUUCAGAAAGGCUGACUUUACAUCCAUGUGGUGUACUUCACAUUCACCUUGAGCUGCAAGAGUCAAUAGAAUCCUUACUGUUUCUAGCCUUGCCACAGGUGCAAAAACUUCCUCAUAAUCCACUCCAUGAAUCUGAGAAUAACCCUUUGCAACUAAUCUGGCCUUACGUUUUACCACUUCACCGGCUGGGUUCCUUUUCACCUUGAAGACCCACUUCAGCCCAAUAGCCUUGUGGUCUUUUGGAAGAUCAGCAAUUUCCCAGGUAUUGUUCUUCACUAUUGACAUCAUCUCCUCUUCCAUGGCUUGCCUCCAGCAAGCUUGUUCAAGAGCCUAAUCAACACUAGCGGGCUCAUCUGCAGCCAGCAUACAAACCCCACUAUAUUCAAAAUCCAGAUCUUGGUAUGUUGAGUCAUACAGAUCGUUCAAGCUUAUGUACCUGUAGACCCCUUGACUCGAGAAGCUUGAAUCAUGGGAAGGUGGAGUUACUGAUCCCUGGUUAUGUGUGGAGCCGGGAGCUGAAAUGGGAGUGGAAUUUGGUGUUUAUGGCUGACCCAUCUCACUUCCCUGUUCAACUGAGUUCACUCCCCCUAAGUUUUGAUCAGAAGAAAUUUCAGUUUCAACAAUUUCUUCUAUUGUCGUCUCUCUGUCAGUUUUAUCAUAAUGAACCUCAAACAUGUCUGGAUCUUGACUGUUUUUUUUGAAAGGAAGGGGCAAAAGACUUGCCGCUCCGAUAUAUAUUAGAUUAGAGAAGAAAGAACGGGAGAAUACAAAACCAAAGCAACUGGAGGGAAGAAGAAAAGAAAGAAAAAAUAAAAGGAAUUAAAAAGAGUUUAAAAAGAAAACAAAGAACCACUAGUCAAGUCCAACAAGACCUCAGCUACUAGCAAUAUCCUUCACUGCAAGAGCCACUGGUUCUACGCUUCUAUGCUGACUUUGAAAAAUUAUGUUAUUUCUUUCCAACCAUAAAUUCCACCAAAAAUGAAUUAGCAGACCGUCGAAACAUCUUCUUGACUGUCUGUUGCAAAGGCUACGCAGACCCGUCCACCAAUCAUACAAAGAUGUGGAACUGGGAAUCCCAGACAGGAAAGGAAGGUUGGCCCAAGACAACACUUUGCUCCACACCUCUCUACUAAAGGGGCAAUCCUUGCAUAAGCGGAGAAUUGUUUCUGGGGCCGAGUUGCAGAGACAACAUAUUGGGUUGCAAGGCCAACCCCUUUUAUGAAGGUUAUCAGCAGUUAGGAUUCUCUUAUGUAGUAGUGUCCAAGCAAAAAAGCGGCACUUCGGUUCCACAUUAGCCUUCCAAAUGGGACAGAGAUUCAUUUUACUGUAAUUGGAUGAGAAUUGGAUUUUGUAUGCACUGCUUGCACUGUACUGCCCAUCUGUCGUCCAUCUCUAAGAAAUGGUGUCCUCCAAACCAUUAAGCUUCUGCAUGUUACCUAUGGCCUGCCAUAGAGAGACGAACUCUCUUAGCUCCCCCUCACCCGUGUAUGGGGAGCAUAAUCGUAUCCAAUUGUUGUUAGUGAGCGCUUUGUCAACCGUGAUGUUCUUCCUCUUUGCCUUCUUGAAUAGAGAUGGUGCAAUGUUCUUAGGGGCUUGGCCUUGGAUCCAGCUAGAUUUCUAGAAUUCAGCUAUCUUUCCAUUGCCAACCGUCACAGUUGUGGAAGCAUUGAAGAGAUCUUCAUCAGUUUUGUCACAAGGAAGCUUCAUGGCAGUCCACGCCCUGUCUUUGCUCUUCCAUCGCAGCCAUAGCCAUCUUAGUCUUAACCCCCUCGCAAAACGAUCAAGAUCCAGAAUUCCAAGACCCCCCUUGUUCUUUGGGAGGCAAGUGAUGGGCCAGUUGAUAAGGCAGUGACCCCCGUUGCAAGCAUCUGGAUUGCUCCCUUUGCACAGUAAGUUUCUUCUCAUUUUGUCAAUUGCUUGCAACAGCCAUUUUUGAGGUGGGAAAACCGUUAGGUGGUAGGUUGUUUGUGCGGAUAGCACCGAUUUUACUAGAGUUUCCCUACCAGCCUUGGACAUCAGUUUGCCUUUCCAGCCAGCCAACCUGUUAUUAAUUUUUUCGAUUAGUGGUUGGAGAUCAAUCCUUUUUACAUUCCGGUAAUGAAGGGGUAACCCAAGGUACUUCCCGGGUAGGCUAGUGUAUUUUCCAGGAAACACAUCCAUUAGCGUUGGCCAUAAUGAUGCUGGAUAUCGAAAUGGGAAAAUUUCUGUUUUGUCAUAGUUGAUCUUUAGCCCUGAACACCCCUUGAACGCGUUGAGAAUCCCUUUCAGCACCUCCAAGUCUAAUUUGUCAGCUCUAACAAACACGCCCGCAUCAUCCGCGUAGAGAGAGCACCGAAGCUUAGCCCCUCUAGGCAGCACCUGUUCAAGCAGUCCAUCUUCAGUGGCCUUCUCAAUCAUCCGAUGUAGCGGGUCCAUCGCUAAAAUGAAAAGGAAGGGAGACAGAGGGUCCCCUUGUUGCACCCCCACGCCUGUGUUUGAUUGCAUUUGAAUGUUGCCCAUUUAUAAUUAUUCUUGAGGAGGAUGAUCCCAUGAUUUCAGCUACCCAAUUGCGCCAUUUCUGGGAGAACCCGCAGGCCCUUAACACAUCCAAGAGAUAUGCCCAAUUCAGGGUGUCGAAAGCUUUGGAGAUGUCGAGCUUGACAAAAAGAGCUGGAUUACCUUUUUUUAUGCAGAUUCAUGAUCACCCUUUGCAUGUAUAUAAAGUUGUCAUGAAUUGAUCGGUUCUGGAUGAAGGCGUUCUGAGCGUUGGAGAUAAUUUCGUUCAUUCUUGGAGCAAGCCUAUUUGCCAUGAUUUUUGUUAUAAUUUUCAUGAAGCUAUUGAUCAGGCUGAUUGGCCUAAACCUAUCAAUUCUGUCAGCAUUUUCCCCCUUCGGUAUGAGGAUGAUGUUUGCUUCGUUGACCAGAUGCAGACUUUUGGAUCUAUGUUGGAAAAAAUCAUUUAUUGCCAUGGAAAGGUCAUUUUUGAUCAACUCGAAGCAGCAUUUGUAGAACAGGCCAAUGAACCCAUCCAGCCCGGGGGCCUUUUCAUAUUGAAGCCCCAUCACAACGUCCUUGAUUUCACUGUCAUCAAUCAAGUUGUCCAGCUCAGAUAACUCAAAAGGAGCAUACCCCAGAUGGUCCCAAUGAACAGCACUACUCCUACCUGUCGUGCCUAGUACCUGGCCGAAGUGAUGUUGUACCUCGUUCAUUUUGUCUUCCUGACUCGUCAACAGUGUGCCAUCUCGAAUUAGCGAUCUGAUUAAAUUUUUCCUUCUUCUGUUAUUGGCCGCUAAGUGAAAGAACUUAGUGUUAGCAUCGCCCAACCGCAUCCAAGUAAGUCUGGAAUGUUGUCUUGCACAUGACCUCUGAGCGGAGGCAAUAUCCAGAAUCUUGAUUUUAAGAGUCCUCCUGAAUUCCAAUUCUUCGGAGGAGAGUUGUCUAAUCUCUUGUGCUUUCUCCAGAAGAGUGAGGAUGAUCUGAAUGAUAGCCAUCUGCACUUUGAAGUUGCCAACUGUAUUGCGUCUCCAGGCCAAUAGAGCCUUGGCCGAGCAAGUCAUCUUUACGUGAAGUCGAAGGAUGGCAUCAUCAGUGUUUACUGUAGAAUUCCAUGCUUGAUGGACUACCUCGUUGAACCCCUCAAUCUGUGGCCAGAAAGAUUCGAAUCUAAACCCCCGGUAGAAGUUAACCGAAGAGUGGCCUUGCAUUAAAAGCGGGCAGUGGUCCGAUGUCAUGGUGCACAUGGAGUGCAGGUCAGCCGAGGGAUACAGGUCAUGCCACUCUGUUGUCGCAAAGAAUCUGUCAAUCCUAGUCAUGGUAGGGUCAACUUGCUCAUUUGACCAGGUGAAUGCUCUAUCGGUGAGAUCUAGCUCUAAGAGAUGCAGAUCAUCAAUUAUGCUAUUGAACUGCCUCAUCACCCUUCUGUUGAUUGAUCCUUUGUUUUUCUCCCUUGCUCUCCUGAUCAUGUUGAAUUCACCUAAUAACACCCAUUCUGGUCUCACCAUGGUUUGGAUGUUACGGAGCUCAGAGAGGAAUAUCAUUUUUUCAUUGUCCAGUUGGGGUAAGUAGACACCCAUGAGGUCCCAAACCUCAUCCACCAAUCUAGAAUUGAUCCUGACUGACAGUGAAUAGGCUGAUGAACAUGGUAAGAGAACCAUGUCAAAAUAAUCCGAAUCAGCAGCGAUUAGGAUUCCGCCCGAGGCGCCCAGAGAAGGUAAGUGAAAAGUUUGGUUUGCAAGCUUGGCACCUACAGUUUCCUUUAAUAAUACAUUUGACCAGCUCGAGAUCUUUGUCUCUUGAAGGCAAACAAUGGAUGCGCCAGUGGACAAAAUUGUAUGCCUUACGCUUUCUCUCUUAGCGUGGUCGUUUAACCCCCAUACAUUCCAAGAAAAAUAGAGCAUUUCAGAUUCAUAAGGUAAUAAAAACCACUCUAGUUGAGACAGUACGAAGCCACCAAUCAUAUCUCAGCCAGGAACCCUGCUGCAGCGAACUAACAGGAAAUAAUGCUUUCAGACAAGGAUUCGCCGAGCCAAUAGAUUGCCCAGACCCAAACGACAAACUGAAAAAACAGAGAUACAAAGGCAUGCCAGGGACCCUAUAGCACUGCCCAGACGCACUAAAACCAGCAGAGAUUAAACAGCGAACAAAGGGAAGGCUGAGCCCGGAACCGCGCCGAUAGCGCCUAGCCAUCUGAGUAAACAUUGAUCUCCAAAAGAACCACCAACAGGCCUAGUCAAGGAGCUCAGAUCCCCUUUGCCUUCACGACUUUGAUGGCCGGCACCACCUUUCGACCCUUCUUUUUAGACUUCACUGCCUUCACAUUGUCUUGAUUUAUCAGCUCCAUGAUUGCCUCCAUUUGCUUCUUGGAGAGAGGCCUUGUGAAUAGACAUGUGAUCUGCUCAAAUGAAUCAUCAAAGUCAGUAAAGCCUGAAGAACUAGAGCGGUCUGAUUUUUUUACUGCAGAAUUGUUAAGUUUGGCGAGUAUGAUUUCCUGGGCUUUGGAUAUCGCAUCCUGGUUACUCCUAGUCUUAAUGCAUUUCUUCGCAGCCAGCCUAACACUUGAUCUUCUAGUGGUGGGUUGGUUCUGAAAUUUUAAUGGAUGUGAUGUGGUCGUGCUACUUUUCGGCGGGGAUGGAAUCAAUGGUGGCUCUGGUGGAUUUGUUAUUGCCGCGAUGAAGUCGAGCAACUGAGUAUUGUCGGCCGAGCUAUUCCCUGUCCUCAGAGCAGGAGAAGCUCUUAAGGUUUCAUGAUUAUCACUAUCAGCUGGUUGAAAAUCUGGUUGAUUGUCACUAUCGACUGGUUGAAAAACUGGGCCGGGUAAGUCAUGGAUAAAUGAGGCACCCAUUAGGCCGACCCGAUCAGCAGCAGGCAUGUUGUAAUCUAUAGCUUGAUUAUCAUUCACAAGUUGAGAGCCUAAAAACUCAAUCGGUUGGACAGCUAGGGCCUUGGCUAGAGUAGAAGUGUUUAGGUUCACGCUAGUGGAACACGCCAGCACACUGUCUAAACUGUUGUGAAUUGUGGCAAAAACAUUAGUGAGAUCAAUAGUAUUGGUUACCUUGCACUUGGAGGUAGCAGGGUCGUGCGAGGUUUCCUGGUUGUCACCGCCAAUAGAGCUUGACUUGCUUCCAACACCAUCAGUUAGCCCCAGACUGUCCUCCUGCGGUCAAACAACAGAAACAAUGGUGUCUGCAAAUGAAACAAUUUUGACCUUCGCCUUGGGCACCCAGCGAGAUGACGGUGUCAUCCCCAGACCAUGACGACGAAAAGGAGUUGAAUGCCUAUGCUUGUCGUUGGAGCUAUAUCAGUCAUCCAUCCCCCCCGCAUCACGACGAACGCGCCCAACCGGAAAGGCUACGAUGUCUACGGUUGCCGCUGUGUCUGUCACGCUGAAAGUCCCCUUCAUCAUCAUCGUGGCCCCAGUCACGGCGCACAGUCUCUCUACCUCUGAAAGCUUCUGCACGUUCUAUUUUUUCGCCCACUGAGUCCGGGGCGCCAUAGUUCCAAACAAACUCUCUGUGCUGCUUGCGAUUAGGAGGCCCCCUGGAUCCCCUCCCAUGGAGGAACGAGAGGUCUUCCACAACCUCGAUGUGAUUGCGAAGGGUGUAAACAUGGCCAGCUUUCAGAUCAGAAGGUUCAUCAUGAUGAGCACCAACAAGUGGUAAGGGGGUGUUGAUUGGUGGAAGCUCCCUGUCUAGUUCUAAUAGCGUUAGCUGGACCUCUUUGGGGAUGUCACAAGGGUCAGAGCACCAUGCCCAGAGAUCGAAAGACCUAGUGCGCUCUCUAUGCCUUGUGCGCUCUUGCACAUAGUGGAUUGCACAGCUCUUGCCCAAGGCCUUCGAAGCCACUUCUUCCCCCCAACAGUGAACCAGAAUCCAUUCAACCCGGACUUUAACUCUAAAUUCAAGGUUUGUUUUCCUAGCAUAGUUGUCCUCUGACCAAUCACCAAAAUGGAAAAUCCGGCCACGAUACGAGACCGAUCUCCUAUCUAGCGCCCAUAGCUUCGACCUUGGAUCCGGGAAGAUGAUAAAGAAUUGCUCAGGAAAGUGCUUGACUAGUUGAUACUGACCGUAGUGAAGGUUGAACUUCUCCCUCAGCAUGUCUCCUGCAGAUAAUGUGUCAACCUCAUGACUGUUGCCGUCGAAGGAGCAAACUACAGCCUUGUCAAUCAGGUCGUCUCUGCGGCGACGGAUGGAGCCGGUCGCCGAGACCGAACAGAAGGCACGCGAUGUCCUUCCCCGAGGAUCUCUAGGGUAGCGAGCCUCCAUUCAUUGGCCUUCCUGAACAGCCUGGAGGAAGGAUUUCUUGUGUAUGAGGGGCAGUUGACUGAGCGGAGCCUUCCGGGGUUGCUCCUGGUACUUAUGGAGGUCGUCGGGCCAUAGCAGCAGCUCAUGGUAGGUAGAGCUCUUUGAUGGAUGCUCGGAUGGUUUAGGAUUAUAGCGAGCAACAUUGAAUGUCCCCUGGGAGCUUUUCUGGUUGCAGGACCUCGCCCGGUGUCCAAAUUGUAGGCAAUGCCAGCAGCGCGUAGGAGCCGAGCAGCAAAAAGCGAGAUGUUCUGGUGAGAGACAGUUGUAGCAUUUACCCUUGAGAUUCAAUUUGAAAAGACUGGUGCCCUUCAUGUCAAAUUGAUGUUUUUGCGGAGCUCUCUCAGGAGCCAUCAAGUUCUUGCGCCACCAGUACCGCGGCCUGACCACAGACCAACCCCCUUCGUUGACAUCCGGAGCAGCAAGAUAUGGCUGUCCAUUCAUACGCGACGCAACAUUGAGACCUUCAGCACGUCGAUGGGACAAAACGCUGCCUGAAUUCAAAGCCCGAUCCGCCUUGCAGGAAUGCUGGAAGCCCGACGAGCAGUCUGCUUCCCACUUGGCUUUUUUAGUCGCCAGGAUACUCGACAUUGAAGUCUGACGUUGUGGAUCUCCAUGUACCGCCUGCACUGGGCGUGAUUCUGCUGUGGUUCUUGAGAUUAGAUCCAAAUUGGUUGUUGAAUAAGAGCCAUCGCCGGUCGCGAUGGUGAAAGUCGCCUAGAGGGGGGUGAAUAGGGCGAAUCUGAAAUUUACAAACUUAAUCACAACUACAAGCUGAGUUAGCGUUAGAAAUAUAAACGAGUCCGAGAGAGAGGGCGCAAAACAAAUCACAAGCGAAUAAGGAGUGUGACACAUGGAUUUGUUUUACCGAGGUUCGGUUCACGCAAACCUACUCCCCGUUGGGGUGGUCACAAAGAUCGGGUCUCUUUCAACCCUUUCCCUCUCUCAAACGGUCCCUCGGACCGAGUGAGCUUCUCUUCUCAAUCAAACGGGAACCAAACUUCCCCGCAAGGACCACCACACAAUUGGUGUCUCUUGCCUUGGUUACAAUUGAGUUGAUCGCAAGAAAGAAUGAGAGAAAGAAGCAAUCAAAGUGCAAGAGCUCAAAUGAACACAACAAAUCUCUCUCACUAAUCACUAAAGCUUUGUGUGGAGUUGGGAGAGGAUUUGAUCUCUUUUGUGUGUCUUGUAUUGAAUGCUAGCUCUUGUAAGUAGUUGGAAGGUGGAAAACUUGGAUGCCUUGAAUGUGGGGGUGGUUGGGGUAUUUAUAGCCCCAACCACCAAACUUGACCGUUGGUGGAGGCUGCUGUCGAUGGGAGCACCGGACAGUCCGGUACGCCAGCCACGUCACCAGGCCGUUGGGUUCCGACCGUUGGAGCUCUGUCUUGUGGGCCCGCCUGGCUAUCCGGUGGUGCACCGGACAGGCCCUGUAGGCUGUCCGGUGUGCCACCCGCGCGUGCUCUGCUCCUCUGCGCGCGCAGGCACGCAUUUAAUACGUUGCAGUCGACCGUUGCGCGCGAAGUAGUCGUUGCUCCGCUGUCACACCGGACAGUCCGGUGUGCGCCGGACACUGUCCGGUGACUCACCAGACAGUCUGGUGAAUUAUAGCGGAGCAGAUUCCCGAAGCUGGCGAGUUCAGAGUUGCUCUCCCUUGGAGCACCGGACACUGUCCGGUGGUGCACCGGACAGUCCGGUGCGCCAGACCAGGGCACACUUCGGUUAUCCCUUGCUCUCUUUGUUGAACCCUUUUCUUGGUCUUUUUAUUGGCCUUUUGUGAACCUUUGGCACCUGUAGAACUUAUAGACUAGAGCAAACUAGUUAGUCCAAUUAUUUGUGUUGGGCAUAUCAACCACCAAAAUCAAUUAGGAAAUAGGUGUAAGCCUAAUUCCCUUUCAAUCUCCCCCUUUUUGGUGAUUGAUGCCAACACAAACCAAAGCAAAUAUAGAAGUGCAUAAUUGAACUAGUUUGCAUAAUUGUAAGUGCAAAGGUUACUUAGAAUUGAGCCAAUAUAAAUUUUCAUAAGAUACACAUGGAUUGUUUCUUUAUUUUUAACAUUUUGGACCACGCUUGCACCACAUGUUUUGUUUUUGCAAAUCCUUUUGUAAAUUCUUUUCAAAGUUCUUUUGCAAAUAGUCAAAGGUAAAUGAAUAAGAAUUUUGAGAAGCAUUUUCAAGAUUUGAAAUUUUCUCCCCCUGUUUCAAUUGCUUUUCCUUUGACUAAACAAAACUCCCCCUCAAUAAAUUCUCCUCUUAGUGUUCAAGAGGGUUUUAAGAUACCGAUUUUGAAGGUGCUACUUUCUCCCCCUUUUGAACAUAAUGAAAUACCAAUUUGAAAAUCAUGAGUUUUAAAAUUAGGUGGUGGUGCGGUCCUUUUGCUUUGGGCUAAUACUUUCUCCCCCUUUGGCAUGAAUCGCCAAAAACGGAUACUUUGAUUGAAAUAUAAGCCCUUUUAAACUACUUUCUUCCCUUUGGCAAACAAAAUAUGAGUGAAGAUUAUACCAAAGACGGAGAGAUGCUCGGAGCGACGGCGAAGGAUGAGUUAUGGAGUGGAGUGGAAGCCUUUGUCUUCGCCGAAGACUCCAAUUCCCUUUCAAUAUACCUAUGACUUGGUUUGAAAUUCACUUGAAAACACAUUAGUCAUAGCACAUGAAAGAGACAUGAUCAAAAGUAUAUUCAUGAGCUAUGUGUACAACACAUCAAAAGAAAUUCCUAGAAUCAAGAAUAUUUAGCUCAUGCCUAAGUUUGUUAAAAGUUUGUUCAUCAAGUGGCUUGGUAAAGAUAUCGGCUAAUUGAUCUUUAGUGUUAAUGUAUGCAAUCUCGAUAUCUCCCUUUUGUUGGUGAUCCCUUAAGAAGUGAUACCGAAUGGCUAUGUGUUUAGUGCGGCUAUGCUCAACGGGAUUAUCCGCCAUGCGGAUUGCACUCUCAUUAUCACAUAGAAGAGGAACUUUGGUUAAUUUGUAACCAUAGUCCCUAAGGGUUUGCCUCAUCCAAAGCAAUUGCGCGCAACAAUGGCCUGCGGCAAUGUACUCGGCUUCGGUGGUAGAAAGAGCUACAGAAUUUUACUUCUUUGAAGCCCAAGACACCAAGGAUCUUCCCAAGAACUGGCAAGUCCCGGAUGUGCUCUUUCUAUUAAUCUUACACCCUGCCCAAUCGGCAUCCGAAUAACCAAUUAAAUCAAAGGUGGAUCCCCUAGGAUACCAAAGCCCAAACUUAGGAGUAUAAACUAAAUAUCUCAAGAUUUGUUUUACGACCGUAAGGUGAGCUUCCUUAGGGUCGGCUUGGAAUCUUGCACACAUGCAUACGAAAAGCAUAAUAUCCGGCCGAGAUGCACAUAAGUAAAGUAAAGAGCCUAUCAUCGACCGGUAUACCUUUUGAUCGACGAAUUUACCUCCCGUGUCGAGGUCGAGAUGCCCAUUGGUUCCCAUGGGUGUUUUGAUGGGCUUGGCAUCCUUCAUCCCAAACUUGUUUAGAAUGUCUUGAAUAUACUUCGUUUGGCUAAUGAAGGUGCCCUCUUGGAGUUGCUUCACUUGAAAUCCUAAGAAGUAUUUCAACUCCCCCAUCAUCGACAUCUCGAAUUUCUGUGUCAUGAUCCUACUAAAUUCUUCACAUGUAGAUUCGUUAGUAGACCCAAAUAUAAUAUCAUCAACAUAAAUUUGGCAUACAAACAAAUCAUUGUCAAGAGUUUUAGUAAAUAAAGUAGGAUCGGCCUUUUCGACUUUGAAUCCAUUAGUGAUAAGAAAAUCUCUUAGGCAUUCAUACCAUGCUCUUGGGGCUUGCUUGAGUCCAUAAAGCGCCUUAGAGAGUUUAUACACAUGGUUAGGAUACUCACUAUCUUCAAAGCCGGGAGGUUGCUCAACAUAGACCUCUUCCUUGAUUGGUCCAUUGAGGAAGGCACUUUUCACGUCCAUUUGAUAAAGCUUAAAGCCAUGGUAAGUAGCAUAGGCAAGUAAUAUACGAAUUGACUCAAGCCUAGCUACGGGUGCAUAGGUUUCACCGAAAUCCAAACCUUUGACUUGUGAGUAUCCCUUGGUCACAAGUCAGGCUUUGUUCCUUGUCACCACACCAUGCUCAUCUUGCUUGUUGCGGAACACCCACUUGGUUCCUACAACAUUUUGAUUAGGACGUGGAACAAAAUGUCAUACCUCAUUCCUAGUGAAGUUGUUGAGCUCCUCUUGCAUCGCCACCACCCAAUCCGAAUCUUGUGGUGCUUCCUCUAUGUCACACCCGGUUUUAGAAGGCAAACCGAAUGAGAACCAUGUACGUGCCAGGAUCAGUUAUUCACGUACACAGCAGUUACAUAAUAUGGACAUCAUCACACAGUGCUCAAAAUAGUAUUAAUAAGGGAAAUAGUCGAUUACAUCAUACGUCUGAGACGUCCAUAUAGUUCUUACAAUAAAUCAAAGUGCGGAAAAGAAACAUAGAUAACCGCGGCCUUCACAGGCAGCCGACUGGGGGGUUGCCGCUAACCCACACCUAGAACUCGUCGUAGUCUUGGAACUCCUGGAAGUCUCCUUCCACAGCUUCAUCUUCGCCUGAGCAGUGGUUGCAAUGCUGACAACCUGGGGAUGGGGGGGGUUUGGUGUGUAGAGCAAGGGUGAGUACACAUCAACAUACUCAGCAAGUAUCCUGUUUGGCUGUAGUGGACUAGCUGUAUGUGGGGGAUAAGUCAAGCAGUUGCUUUUAGUUGGUCAGAUUAUUACUUACUAGUAGAAAGCCAAGUUUUAGCAUUAACCCAAGUUAUUAACCCAAACAUACUCCUUUCCAAACGGAAAGAGUACCACUUACCAGCAUCAUAGUCAUAACCGGAACCAUCGAUCUCAUAACCACCUGUACCAAAGUAUCUCUGAUCAAGUACCACUAAUCACUGGAGCUCCCUUGGCCGCUCAUAACCGUGAGCACGGCUGAUAUAUCAGUUUUUCAAACACUCUGCAGAGGUUGUGCACUUUACCCACAAGCCGUGAUUCCCAUUCUGCCCGGAGAGAGCUACUCCCCAUUGACCACUACCUAGGUGGCCUAGCAGGGCAUCACUACGUAGCCUUUACAAAGAUUCCCCGGGGCUAUAGCCACCCGUUAGGUUUCCUAAAUGCACCGCACUCCUCCCCAAGGGGCGAACCCAAACUUGGCAGAGCGAGCCGCAUACACCGAGCCCCAUUGACGGCACGACGGCUAAGUGAACUACACCCCGGAUCCUCUAAUUAUUCAGCUAAGGGCACCCCAUUCCACCCUCAUGGUUGCACUGUUUUCCCGGGCGGUCAUCCAUAGAACAGGUCCUUACGGAGAGGCACUCGAGAAACCGCUCGAGCCCCCUUGAUGACCACAAGUACAACAUCAUAAUAAGAGAAGGGAAAACAGCGUAUCAUAGAUAAUCUCAUCAUGUUCAUUGAUUAGAGUUUGAGCAAUAGCAUAAAGCUAAACAGUAAUAAUCCAACCCAAAUAGGUGAACAAGGACAUGGAUCACAAAAGCUAGUCAAUCCUUAGGCAUAAAUGUGUAAAGCGGGAGGUGAAUUAAAUAAUGAAUAGGACAUAGAUAGGUCAAAGGACACUUGCCUCCACCAACCGACUGCUGCUCAGGGGCUUCUCCUGCGAGUUCCUCGGGCUCUUCGACCGAAUCGUUCUCUAUGCGAUUGCAAGCAUACAUACAUUCAUCCAUUCAAAUUGGGAAACAAACAGUACAUCAUACAAGGGAACAAAUAAAGUGAAUAUGCAUCAGGUAUGACAUUCGAUAUCGCACUCAUUAUGGUUAGAAAGAAACGGGAAAAGGUCUCGCGGGAGGGGGGGGGUUAAAGCUUAUGCACUAAUGAUUAGUUACAAUUGGUUCUAACAAAAGAAUUCAGUUAUAUGCACUAAUGGAAACCUAGUCGUUUUUAGUUGAUCAAUAUUGGACUAGAUAAACAAUUGAUUAUAUGAAUUAACUAGUGUAACGAAAUUCUAAAUUAAGUUUCCUAUUUCAAUAAUAUGAACAAUGAUUAACCUACCUAAAAUAAAAUAAGUAACAGUAAUGAAAGAAAAUAAAAUAAAAAAAAUAAAGAAAAGGGGGGGGGGGCGGUUGAACCGGCCAGGGGCGGGGGCGGGGGGCGGCCGAGCCGGCGGCGCGCAGGGGCGGCCGAACCGGCGGGGGACGCGGGGCAGGGGGCGGCCGAGCCGGCCAGGGGGCGGCCGAGCUGGCGCGCAGGGGCGGCCGAGCCAGCCGGGGGCGGGGCAGGGCGCGCAGGGGCGGCGGCGGCCGAGCCGGCCAGGGGCGGCCGAGCUGGGCGGCGGGCGGUUGGGCCGGGGCAGGGGCGGCGGCGGCCGAACCGGGUGGGGGGAGAGGAGGGGAGAUGGGGAAGGGAGGAGAGGGGGAGGGGGACCUCACCGGGGACGGGGACGGGCGGCCGAGCGGCGGGGGCGGCCGAGCUGCAGGGGGCGGCGCUAGGGCAGGGGGCGGCGCUAGGGCAGGGGGCGGCGGUUGGGGUGGGGAAGAGAGAAUGAGGGAGAGGGAGAGGGAUUUUGGGGAAAUUGGGGGAAAAGGAGGGGGCGGCUGGGCCAAUGGGCCCAAAGGGGCGCGCGCGGGGGGCGGCUGGGCUGGCUGGGGGCGGCUGGGCCGGCCAGGGGCGGCCCACGGCGCGGGAGAGAGAAAAAGGGAGGGGAGAGAGAAAGAAAAAGAAAAGAAAGGAAAGGGUUUUUCUCCUUUUCGAAAUCCGAUCUUUCUAGAUGAAUGCACUUACAUCUCUAAGCAAUCAAAGAAUGCAUAGUUCGGCAUGGUGCAUCAAACAACAUAAAGUAAUUUAGGGUUUUUCUGUACACGGGAAAAUCCAAGCCAAACCCCGCUAUAACUUUGGAAAAGGUCAAGGUUUAGCGAGAGAACGAGAAAAGAAAAGAGUAACGCCUGAAUUUGGUGAGAGAAAAUAAGAAAAAAAAUUCUACCCCCAAAUUCAGGGCGUUACAAACCUAUCCCCCUUAAAAGAAUCUCGCCCUCGAGAUUCAGGGUUGGCUAGCAAAGAGCUCAGGGUAUUUAGCCAUCAGAUCAUCUUCACGCUCCCAGGUUGCUUCUUCCUCUGAGUGGUGAUUCCAUCUGACUUUGCACAUUCUGAUGGUCUUCCUUCGGGUGACUCGGUCUGCAAUCUCAAGGAUUUGGACUGGCUUCUCAACGUAGGUCAAGUCCUCCUGGACUUCAAGACCUUCCACUGGCAACUGCUCUUCUGGCACACGCAAGCACUUCUUCAACUGAGACACAUGAAAGACAUCAUGCACAGUAGACAAAUUCUCUGGCAAACUGAGCUGAUAGGCCACUUCUCCACGUCUUGCAAGAAUCUGAUACGGACCAAUGUAGCGGGGUGCUAGCUUGCCUUUCACUCCGAAUCUUCUGACUCCUCUGAUCGGUGACACUUUCAGAUAAACAAAGUCUCCGACUUCGAAACUCAGCUCUCUUCUUCUUGUGUCUGCAUAGCUUCGCUGCCUCGAUUGCGCUAUCUUCAGAUUCUCUUGAACCAUCUUGAUGUUCUCUUCGGCUUCAAGCAAAAUGUCUGGCCCAAACACUUGCUUUUCUCCAGGCUGAUCCCAUUGCAACGGAGUUCUACAACUCCUUCCAUAGAGCGCCUGAAAUGGUGACAUCUUCAAACUGGCCUGAUAACUGUUGUUAUAGGAAAACUCUGCAUAAGGCAAUCUCUUAUCCCAUCCGGACUGAUCUUGCAACGCACAGGCUCUCAGCAUAUCUUCAAGAAUUUGAUUGGUCCUUUCGGUCUGGCCAUCUGUCUGCGGAUGAUAAGCUGAACUGAAAUUCAGAUGCGUGCCCAAAGCUUCAUGCAACUGCCGCCCGAAAUGAGAGGUGAACUGCGUUCCUCUGUCUGACACUAUCUUCUUUGGCACACCAUGAAGACAAACGAUCCGAGACAUAUACAAUUCUGCCAAUACGGCACUGCUAUAGUUGGUCUUGACAGGUAUGAAGUGGGCUGACUUGGUCAAACGGUCCACUACUACCCAGAUGGAAUCGUAGCCGGCUCGAGUGCGAGGCAAUCCGACUAUGAAAUCCAUACCAAUUUCAUCCCAUUUCCACUGAGGGAUCUGCAACGGUUGCAACAAUCCGGCAGGUCUCUGGUGUUCUGCCUUAAUUCUUCGGCAACUAUCGCACAUAGCCACAUGCUCUGCGAUUUCCCUCUUCAUUCCGUACCACCAGAAUUUCUUCUUCAGAUCCUGAUACAUCUUCUCACUGCCAGGGUGAAUCGAAUAAGCUGUCUCAUGAGCUUCCUUGAGAAUCAACUCCCGAAUGGACUGGACAUUGGGAACACACAAGCGGUCUUUGAACCAUAUCACACCUUCUGCAUCUUCUCGAAAAUCUUUGCCUUUGCCAUCUAGAAUCAGUCGCCGGAUCUCACUGAUUUUCUCAUCAUUCUCCUGCGCUUCUUUGAUUUCGCGCUCCAAGGUAGGUUCCAACUCAACUGUGACUCCUCGCGAAUUGUUCAGAAAUCUGAGACUCAACCUGUCAAACUCCUUGGCCAACUCAUAAGGCAUCGGACGAGCAACCAUUAGAUUGACUUGACUCUUUCUGCUCAAAGCAUCUGCCACUAUGUUUGCUUUGCCUGGAUGGUAAUGAAUCUCCAACUCAUAAUCUUUGAUCAACUCUAACCAUCUUCGUUGCCUCAUAUUCAACUCGGACUGAGUGAAUAUGUACUUCAGACUCUUAUGGUCUGUGUAAACAUCGCAUUUAUGUCCAUACAAAUAGUGCCUCCAUGUCUUCAGUGCAUGAACCACUGCUGCCAACUCUAGAUCAUGGAUUGGGUAGUUCUUCUCAUGAACCUUCAACUGUCGGGACGAGUAAGCCACAACUCUUCCCUCUUGCAUCAACACACAUCCCAAACCUGUGUAACAAGCAUCACAAUACACCGAGAAGGGCUUGUGCACAUCAGGCAAGACUAGGACAGGCGCUGUAGUCAACUUCUCUUUCAGCGCUUCGAAGGCCUCUUGGCAUUUCUGGGUCCACUUGAACUCAACUUUGUUUCCUAGCAACGCUGUCAUGGGUUUCGCGAUCUUCGAAAACCCUUCAAUGAAUCGCCGAUAAUAUCCGGCCAUUCCAAUGAAGCUCUUGAUUCCUCGGGCAUCUGUUGGCGCUUUCCAGUUCAGAAUGUCUGCCACUUUCUUCGGAUCCACAGCCAAUCCUUCUUUGUUGAUUAUGUGACCCAAGAACAGGACUUCACUGAUCCAGAACUCACACUUGCUCAACUUUGCAUACAACUGGUGCUCUCGCAAUCUCUGCAAUGCCAUCUUCAAAUGAUCUGCGUGCUCUUCUUCGCUUUGAGAAUAAACCAGAAUGUCAUCAAUGAAUACCACCACAAACUUAUCAAGGUAAUCCAUGAAUACACUGUUCAUCAAGUUCAUGAAGAACGCUGGCGCAUUGGUCAAACCAAAAGACAUCACAGUGAACUCAUACAAACCAUACUUGGAAAUGAAUGCCGUCUUCGGAAUGUCCGAAGGUCGGAUCCUGAGCUGAUGAUAACCUGACCUCAGAUCAAUCUUGGAGAACACACUGGCUCCUCUCAACUGGUCGAACAGAUCUUCUAUUCUGGGCAAAGGAUACUUGUUCUUGAUCGUGACCUCAUUCAAAGCUCGAUAAUCGAUACACAUCCUUUUGGUGCCAUCUUUCUUCUCCACAAAUAGGACAGGGGCGGCCCAAGGCGAGGUGCUUGGCCGAAUGUAACCUUUCUCCGACAGCUCAUCAAUCUGCUCCUUAAGCUCAACCAACUCUGGUCCAGAUAUUCUGUAAGCUCUCUUGAAGAUGGGGGCGGUUCCAGGAAGAAGCUCUAUAGCAAACUCAACUUUCCGCUCUGGUGGCAUACCCGGUAAGUCCUUUGGAAACACAUCUGGGAACUCGGACACAACCUUGAUGCUCUCAAUUGGGUCUGCUUCACUGCUAUCAACAGCUAUCUGAUAACAACUUCCUUUCUUUGGCUCAGGUGGGACUAACUCAGUUACCACUUCCUCUCCUAGUGGGGACACCAACUUGAUUGUCCUUUUAUCACAACUGAUAACUGCCUGAUACUUAUCUAGCCAAUUCAUCCCUAGGAUGACAUCUAUUCCCUGAGUACCCAUUACUAUAAGGUUGGCGGGAAAUGCUAUCCCCCUUAUUUCCACACUUAUAUUCAAACAAAUGCUAUCGGCUCGAAUCCUACCACCGGCUGAGUCAAUUUGAAUGGGGGUUGACAUGGUAGUAAUUGGAAGAUUAUGUGCUUCUACCCAUGAUGCAGUAAUGAAAGAAUGCGUUGCUCCAGUAUCAAAUAACACUUCUGCAAUAUGGGAGUCGACUGGGAACAUACCUACUAUCAUGCCGGGGGUCUCCUGAACUGCUUCAGCUUCCAAGUGGUUCAGCCUUCCAUGAUUAUAGCGCGGUUGAGAGCGAUUGCCUGAGAAACGAGGACGAUUGCUGCUUCCAGGCUGGAGUCCACUGAUCUUGCGCUUACGAUCUUCCAUCUCCUUACGCUUUCUCUCUGUCAUGAUUGCUCUGUCAAUCAGGUGCUGGAAUGUCGGGAAGGUGUGAUUCAUCAGUUGGUACUGCAGAGGGUCAACCAAGCCUCUCAGGAAACGGUACUGUCGCUUGGCGUCGGUGUUGACAUCUUCAGGAGCAUAGCGAGACAAUUGCAGAAACUUGUCCCGGUACUCACUGACAGACAAUGGCCCUUGCUUGAGAGCCAGGAACUCCUCCUUCUUCACUGUCAUCAGACCUGCAGGAACAUGGUACUGACGAAAGCUACUUCUGAACUCUUCCCAGGUGAUGGCGUCAGGAUGGGCAUGGGUGGCGAGGUAAGACUCCCACCAUGAUUGGGCUGCUCCUCUCAACAGACGGGGACCAUACAGAACUUUCUCCCUGUCAUCGCACUGAGCGGUAUGCAACUCACGCUCCACAGUGCGCAGCCAAUCUUCAGCAUCCAUAGGGUCUGAAGAAUGAGCGAACGUUGGUGGAUGACCUCUCAUGAAUUCAACACGCUUGUCUCUGGGCAUUUGAGGCAUCUGAGGCUGGGGUGGGGCCUGCUGCUGCUGUUGCUACUGCUGCUGAAUGGCGGCCAAAGUCUGACCGAUGGCUUGAACUGCCUGAGUCUGCAUCAGAAACAUCUGCUCGAUCGACAUCGGGGGCGGGGGCGGCAGGUGCUGCUGCUGGGGCACCUCCUCCUGUUGAGCGGCUCGCUCCUGCUGAGCACGCCUUCCUCCUCUACGCCUGUUCUCUGACAUCUGCAGAAUGCAACCACACAUCAGAACUGAUCUGGCAAAUCUUGCAGCAUAAGAGAAGAGAGUAGAAUUCUUCAACAGCACUGAACAGAUGAGCAUCUUCACUGAUCUCCAACACAGACCACACAGCUUCUUAGAUAAAGAGGAGAGUGGAAUAAAAGGUUUCCCAACUAUAUAACUAACUCUAUUAACAUAAUAGGCAAACCAAAAUGCAGGGGAUACCCACACUCUGGUGACAGUCAUUACAAAGAUCCAAACCAAACAUAGUUCAUCAUGACAAACAUAAAUGCACAGGAUAUAGCAAACUACCCUGUCUAACUAAGACUAACUAAAGCGAGACUAACGCUAAGACUGAAGCUUCUAUGUAUAUAUUUCGUAUUAAUUACAAGAUCCAACUCUAACGAUCUAUGGUUCUAGAGUUAUCUUGGUCUUGCAGUCGGGAUUGCCAUAAGACUGGUGUCCACGCUGAGGUGAGCGGUACGGGUGCUGAGUCCCGACGGGAGCGGGGGAACCUCCGUCCAGAUGACGACGUUCCGCGCGCUCAGCCCGCAGCAGGGCGAUCUCAGCACGAGCCCUACUCAGCUCGUCUAAUGCAUGGUCCAGCUCCGUGUUUAGCACGGCGGCUAGGUUGACUGUGCUGCUCAACCUAGGAUUGCCCUCACCGACAGGUGAGACAAUCACGCCUCCUGUGCUGCCAGAUGGACGGCGGGGGUAAUACUUCAGGUCAAGACCGUCAGCUGCCCCACCGAAAACCGAGCAGUAGUGCGAAAGCGCACGCCGUGCAGCAUCUUGCAUGGCUGCCUCAGCUGAGUCCUGCUCAGAGAUAGAAUAGUGCUCUGAACAGGCCUCCGCACCUUGGAGACUGUUCUCCGGGCAGCGCACCAAGCAGGUUGCCUCCCAGCAGUCCGGGUAGACCCCGCGACUAUGCUGGUAGACCACACAGCGAUACUCGACGGACCAAGUAUGCCGGUCAAAUGCUCGACGUAGCAGGGUGUCGAGCGCAUCGUGGAAGUGACACCCGCGAGCAGCGUCGCGAGUGAUGGGACGAGCAACCCAUCCUUCCGGCUCAGGGUUAGCAGAGAAGUCGGUGUCGUGGCUCGAGCUGUCGUCGCCACCUCCGUCGUCUGGGUCUCCUCCAGCAGCUACUCCAGAAGCUGGGGCGCCCAGUGGUGGUGCAGGGUGCGGCUCCAGAGGAAGCACAGGGGAGCAGCUCCUCACAGACUCUAUCUCCUGGUGGAGCGAGAAGGAAGAGCCCUGCUGCUCCUGUCGUCGAUGUUCCUGCUCCUCACGCAGGCGGUGGUGUAGUCUCUCCAAGUGGCUGGACUGUCCGGCCAUGGGACGGCGAAGCGGACGCUCAGCAAGGCGGGAGGGUAAGAAGGGGAUGACUGACUUUCGUGCAGUGUGUCUAAGUCGAGCCAUCUACAAAAAGACAUCGCAAGCAAAAGGGUGAGAACAGAAUUAAUAUGACCAGCAAAUAAUGAAUCAUAAGUAGAUGAAGGAUUAGAAUAAAACAUGAUUUUCAGCAAGGUAUAAUAUAUAGUAGAACAUAGUUUUGGUCGGUAUGACCAACUUUUGAAGAGAUAUCAAAGUCAAGGCAGGGACAGAGGUCUAUAGUCCUUAGAACGACCAUUCUACUCUAGGUUAGCGGUCCUACAGUCAGCACGGCUUUGAUACCACUUAUGUCACACCCGGUUUUAGAAGGCAAACCGAAUGCGAACCAUGUACGUGCCAGGAUCAGUUAUUCACGUACACAGCAGUUACAUAAUAUGGACAUCAUCACACAGUGCUCAAAAUAGUAUUAAUAAGGGAAAUAGUCGAUUACAUCAUACGUCUGAGACGUCCAUAUAGUUCUUACAAUAAAUCAAAGUGCGGAAAAGAAACGUAGAUAACCGCGGCCUUCACAGGCAGCCGACUGGGGGGUUGCCGCUAACCCACACCUAGAACUCGUCGUAGUCUUGGAACUCCUGGAAGUCUCCUUCCACAGCUUCAUCUUCGCCUGAGCAGUGGUUGCAAUGCUGACAACCUGGGGAUGGGGGGGUUUGGUGUGUAGAGCAAGGGUGAGUACACAUCAACAUACUCAGCAAGUAUCCUGUUUGGCUGUAGUGGACUAGCUGUAUGUGGGGGAUAAGUCAAGCAGUUGCUUUUAGUUGGUCAGAUUAUUACUUACUAGUAGAAAGCCAAGUUUUAGCAUUAACCCAAGUUAUUAACCCAAACGUACUCCUUUCCAAACGGAAAGAGUACCACUUACCAGCAUCAUAGUCAUAACCGGAACCAUCGAUCUCAUAACCACCUGUACCAAAGUAUCUCUGAUCAAGUACCACUAAUCACUGGAGCUCCCUUGGCCGCUCAUAACCGUGAGCACGGCUGAUAUAUCAGUUUUUCAAACACUCUGCAGAGGUUGUGCACUUUACCCACAAGCCGUGAUUCCCAUUCUGCCCGGAGAGAGCUACUCCCCAUUGACCACUACCUAGGUGGCCUAGCAGGGCAUCACUACGUAGCCUUUACAAAGAUUCCCCGGGGCUGUAGCCACCCGUUAGGUUUCCUAAAUGCACCGCACUCCUCCCCAAGGGGCGAACCCAAACUUGGCAGAGCGAGCCGCAUACACCGAGCCCCAUUGACGGCACGACGGCUAAGUGAACUACACCCCGGAUCCUCUAAUUAUUCAGCUAAGGGCACCCCAUUCCACCCUCAUGGUUGCACUGUUUUCCCGGGCGGUCAUCCAUAGAACAGGUCCUUACGGAGAGGCACUCGAGAAACCGCUCGAGCCCCCUUGAUGACCACAAGUACAACAUCAUAAUAAGAGAAGGGAAAACAGCGUAUCAUAGAUAAUCUCAUCAUGUUCAUUGAUUAGAGUUUGAGCAAUAGCAUAAAGCUAAACAGUAAUAAUCCAACCCAAAUAGGUGAACAAGGACAUGGAUCACAAAAGCUAGUCAAUCCUUAGGCAUAAAUGUGUAAAGCGGGAGGUGAAUUAAAUAAUGAAUAGGACAUAGAUAGGUCAAAGGACACUUGCCUCCACCAACCAACUGCUGCUCAGGGGCUUCUCCUGCGAGUUCCUCGGGCUCUUCGACCGAAUCGUUCUCUAUGCGAUUGCAAGCAUACAUACAUUCAUCCAUUCAAAUUGGGAAACAAACAGUACAUCAUACAAGGGAACAAAUAAAGUGAAUAUGCAUCAGGUAUGACAUUCGAUAUCGCACUCAUUAUGGUUAGAAAGAAAUGGGAAAAGGUCUCGCGGGAGGGGGGGGUUAAAGCUUAUGCACUAAUGAUUAGUUACAAUUGGUUCUAACAAAAGAAUUCAGUUAUAUGCACUAAUGGAAACCUAGUCGUUUUUAGUUGAUCAACAUUGGACUAGAUAAACAAUUGAUUAUAUGAAUUAACUAGUGUAACGAAAUUCUAAAUUAAGUUUCCUAUUUCAAUAAUAUGAACAAUGAUUAACCUACCUAAAAUAAAAUAAGUAACAGUAAUGAAAGAAAAUAAAAUAAAAUAAAAAUAAAGAAAAAGGGGGGGGGGGCGGUUGAACCGGCCAGGGGGCGAGGGCGGGGGGCGGCCGAGCCGGCGGCGCGCAGGGGCGGCUGGGCAGGGGCGGCCGAACCGGCGGGGGCGCGGGGCAGGGGGCGGCCGAGCCGGCCAGGGGGCGGCCGAGCUGGCGCGCAGGGGCGGCGGCGGCCGAGCCGGCCAGGGGCGGCCGAGCUGGGCGGCGGGCGGUUGGGCCGGGGCAGGGGCGGCGGCGGCCGAACCGGGUGGGGGGAGAGGAGGGGAGAUGGGGAAGGGAGGAGAGGGGGAGGGGGACCUCACCGGGGACGGGGACGGGCGGCCGAGCGGCGGGGGCGGCCGAGCUGCAGGGGGCGGCGCUAGGGCAGGGGGCGGCGGUUGGGGUGGGGAAGAGAGAAUGAGGGAGAGGGAGAGGGAUUUUGGGGAAAUUGGGGGAAAAGGAGGGGGCGGCUGGGCCAAUGGGCCCAAAGGGGCGCGCGCGGGGGGCGGCUGGGCUGGCUGGGGGCGGCUGGGCCGGCCAGGGGCGGCCCACGGCGCGGGAGAGAGAAAAAGGGAGGGGAGAGAGAAAGAAAAAGAAAAGAAAGGAAAGGGUUUUUCUCCUUUUCGAAAUCCGAUCUUUCUAGAUGAAUGCACUUACAUCUCUAAGCAAUCAAAGAAUGCAUAGUUCGGCAUGGUGCAUCAAACAACAUAAAGUAAUUUAGGGUUUUUCUGUACACGGGAAAAUCCAAGCCAAACCCCGCUAUAACUUUGGAAAAGGUCAAGGUUUAGCGAGAGAACGAGAAAAGAAAAGAGUAACGCCUGAAUUUGGUGAGAGAAAAGAAGAAAAAAAAUUCUACCCCCAAAUUCAGGGCGUUACACUCUACCCUAUGUGGCUCAAUAGAGGAAACAAAAGAGUAAUGCUCACAAAAAUGUGCAACACGAGAUCUAGUGGUUACCCCCUUAUGAAUGUCGUCGAGGAUGGUGUCGACGGGGUGAUCUCGUUGGAUUGCUUGGUGGACUCUUGGGUGUGGCGGUCUUUGUUCUUCAUCUUCCUUGUCUUGAUCAUUUGCAUCUCCCCCUUGAUCAUUGUCGUCAUCUUGAGGUGGCUCAUCUUCUUUAUCUUCUCCUUCAUCAACUUGAGCCUCAUCCUCAUUUUGAGUUGGUGGAGAUGCUUGCGUGGAGGAGGAUGGUUGAUCUUAUCCAUUUGGAGGCUCUUCGGAUUCCUUAGGACACACAUCCCCAAUGGACAUGUUUCUUAGCGCGACACAUGGAGCCUCUUCACCUAUCUCAUCAAGAUCAACUUGCUCUACUUGAGAGCCGUUAGUCUCAUCAAACACAAUGUCACAAGAAACUUCAACUAGUCCUGAGGACUUGUUAAAGACUCUAUAUGCCCUUGUGUUUGAAUCAUAUCCUAGUAAAAAGCCUUCUACAGUCUUAGGAGCAAAUUUAGAUUUUCUACCUCUUUUAACAAGAAUAAAGCAUUUGCUACCAAAGACUCUAAAAUAUGAAAUAUUGGGCUUUUUACCGGUAAGGAGUUCAUAUGAUGUCUUCUUGAGGAUUCGAUGUAGAUACAACCGGUUGAUGGCGUAGGAGGCGGUGUUGACCGCUUCGGCCCAAAACCGAUCCGAAGUUUUGUACUCAUCAAGCAUGGUUCUUGCCAUGUCCAAUAGAGUUCUAUUCUUCCUCUCCACUACACCAUUUUGUUGUGGGGUGUAGGGAGAAGAGAACUCAUGCUUGAUGCCCUCCUCCUCAAGGAAGCCUUCUAUUUGUGAGUUCUUGAACUCCGACCCGUUGUCGCUUCUAAUUUUCUUGAUCCUUAAGCCGAACUCAUUUUGAGCCCGUCUCAAGAAUCCCUUUAAUGUCUCUUGGGUAUGAGAUUAUUCCUGCAAAAAGAACACCCAAGUGAAGCGAGAAUAAUCAUCCACAAUAACUAGACAGUACUUACUCCCGCCGAUGCUUAUGUAAGCGAUCGGGCCGAAUAGAUCCAUGUGUAGGAGCUCGAGUGGCCUGUCAGUCGUCAUGAUGUUCUUAUGUGGAUGAUGAACACCAACUUGCUUCCCUGCUUGGCAUGCGCUACAAAUCCUGUCUUUCUCAAAAUGAACAUUUGUUAAUCCUAAAAUGUGCUCUCCCUUCAGAAGCUUAUGAAGAUUCUUCAUCCCAACAUGGGCUAGUCGGCGAUGCCAGAGCCAACCCAUGUUAGUCUUAGCAAUUAAGCAAGUGUCGAGUUCAGCUCUAUCAAAAUCUACCAAGUAUAGCUGACCCUCUAACACUCCCUUAAAUGCUAUUGAAUCAUCACUUCUUCUAAAGACAGUGACACCUACAUCAGUAAAAAGACAGUUGUAGCCCAUUUGACAUAAUUGUGAAACGGAAAGCAAGUUAUAAUCUAAAGAAUCUACAAGAAAAACAUUGGAAAUUGAGUGGUCAGGAGAUAUAGCAAUUUUAUCCAAACCUUUGACCAAACCUUGGUUUCCAUCCCCGAAUGUGAUAGCUCGUUGGGGAUCUUGGUUUUUCUUAUAGGAGGAGAACAUCUUCUUCUCCCCUGUCAUGUGGUUUGUGCACCCGCUAUCGAUGAUCCAACUUGAGCCUCCAGAUGCAUAAACCUACAAAACAAGUUUAGUUCUUGACUUUAGGUACCCAAAUGGUUUUGGGUCCUUUGGCAUUAGAUACAAGAACUUUGGGUACCCAAACACAAGUCUUUGAUCCCUUGUGUUUGCCCCCAACAUAUUUGGCAACUACCUUGCCGGAUUUGUUAGUUAAAACAUAAGAUGCAUCAAAAGUCUUAAAUGAAAUAUUAUGGUAAUUUGAUGCACUAGGAGUUUUCUUCUUAGGCAAUUUUGCAUGGGUUGAUUGCCUAGAACUAUAUGUCUCACCCUUAUACAUAAAAGCAUGAUUAGGGCCAGACUGAGACUUCCUAGAAUGAAUUCUCCUAAUUUUGCUCUCGGGAUAACCGGCAGGGUACAAAAUGUAACCCUCGUUAUCCUGAGGCAUGGGAGCCUUGCCCUUAACAAAAUUAGACAAUCUUAUAGGAGGGGCAUUAAGUUUGACGUUGUCUCCCUUUUGGAAGCCAAUGCCAUCCUUGAUGCCAGGGCGUCUCCCGCUAUAGAGCAUGCUUCUAGCAAAUUUAAAUUUUUCAUUUUCUAAGUCAUGCUCAUUAAUUUUAGCAUUAAGUUGAGCUAUGUGAUCAUUUUGUUUCUUAAUUAAAGCUAGGGGAUCAUGGAUAACAUCAACAUUAAUGUCUCUACAUCUAGUACAAAUGGAAGUAUGCUCAACGGUAGAUGUAGAGGGUUUGCAAGAUUUUAAUUCUACAACCUUAGCAUGCAAUAUAUCAUUUUUACUUCUAAGGUCCGAAAUGGAAGCAUUGCAAACAUCUAAUUCUUUAGCCUUAGCAAGCAAUUUUUCAUUUUCGAUUCUAAGGUUAGCAAGAGAAAUGUUCAAUUCUUCAAUCUUAGCAAGCAAAUCAACAUUAUCAUUUCUAAGAUUGGUAAUUGAAACAUCACAAGCAUUUGAAUCAACCUUAGCAAUUAAAUUUGCAUUCUCAUUUCUAAGGUUGGCAAUGACAUCAUGGCAAGUGCUUAGCUCACUAGUUAAUUUUUCACAUUUUUCAACUUCUAGAGCGUAAGCAUUUUUAACCUUAACAUGCUUUUUGUUCUCUUUAAUAAGGAAGUCCUAUUGGGUGUCCAAGAGAUCAUCCUUCUCAUGAAUAGCACUAAUUAAUUUAUUUAAUUUUUCCUUUUGUUGCAUGUUUAGGUUGGCAAAAAGAAUGCGUAAGUUAUCCUCCUCAUUGCUAACAUUAUCCUCAUCACUAGAGGUUUCAUAUUUAGUGGAGGAUCUUGAUUUUACCUUCUUCCUUUUGCCGUCCUUUGCCAUGAGGCACUUGUGGCCGACGUUGGGGAAGAGAAGACCCUUGGUGAUGGCGAUGUUUGCGGCGUCCUCGUCGGAGGAGGAGUCGGUGGAGCUCUCGUCGGAGUCCCACUCCCGGCAAACAUGGGCAUCGCCGCCCUUCUUCUUGUAGUACCUCUUCUUCUCCUUUCUUCUCCCCUUCUUGUCGUCGCCCAUGUCACUAUCACUAGAUAAAGGACAUUUUGCAAUAAAAUGACCGGGCUUACCACAUUUGUAGCAAACUUUCUUGGAGCGGGGCUUGUAAUCUUUCCCCUCCUUUGCUUGAGGAUUUGGCGGAAGCUCUUGAUGAUGAGCGCCAUUUCCUCGUUGUCGAGCUUGGAGGCAUCGAUGGGUGUUCUACUCGAUGUAGACUCCUCCUUCUUCUCCUCCGUCGCCUUAAAUGCGACCGGUUGUGCUUCGGACGUGGAGGGGCCAUCAAGCUCAUUGAUCUUCUUUGAGCCUUUGAUCAUCAAUUCAAAGCUCACAAAAUUCCCAAUUACCUCCUUGGGAGUCAUUAGUGUAUAUCUAGGAUUGCCACAAAUUAAUUGAACUUGAGUAGGGUUGAGGAAAACAAGUGAUCUUAGAAUAACCUUAACCAUUUCGUGGUCAUCCCAUUUUUUGCUCCUGAGGUUGCGCACUUGGUUCACCAAGGUUUUGAGCCGGUUGUACAUGUCUUGUGGCUCCUCCCCUUGGCAAAGUCGGAAGCGACCGAGCUCCCCCUCGAUCGUCUCCCGCUUGGUGAUCUUGGUCACCUCGUCUCCUUCAUGCGCGGUCUUUAGCGUGUCCCAAAUCUCCUUAGCACCUUUCAACCCUUGCACCUUAUUAUACUCCUCUCGACUUAGAGAGGCGAGGAGUAUAGUUGAGGCUUGGGAGUUGAAGUGUUGGAUUUGGGCCACUUCGUCCUCAUCAUAAUCUUCAUCCCCUACGGAUGGUACCUGUACACCAAACUCAACAACAUCCCAUAUACUUUUGUGGAGUGAGGUUAGGUGAAAUUGCAUUAAAUCACUCCACCUAGCAUAAUCUUCACCAUCAAACGUUGGUGGUUUGCCUAAUGGGACGGAAAGUAAAGGCGUAUGUUUAGGAAUGCGAGGAUAGCGUAGGGGGAUCUUACUAAACUUCUUGCGCUCAUGGCGCUUAGAAGUUACGGAUGGCGUGUCGGAGCCGGAGGUGGAUGGCGAUGAGGUGUCGGUCUCGUAGUAGACUACCUUCCUCAUAUUCUUCUUUUUGUCACCGCUCCGUCGCGACUUGUGUGAAGGGGAUUCCUUUUCCUUCCCCUUCCCUUUGUUGUAGGACUCUCCCGAUGGAGCCUUCCCGUGGCUUGUAGCGGGCUUCUCGCUGGUCACCAUCUCCCUCUUGGCGUGAUCUCCCGACAUCACUUCGAGCGGUUAGGCUCUAAUGAAACACCGGUUCUGAUACCAAUUGAAAGUCGCCUAGAGGGGAAUGAAUAGGGCGAAUCUGAAAUUUACAAACUUAAUCACAACUACAAGCCGGGUUAGCGUUAGAAAUAUGAACGAGUCCGAGAGAGAUGGCGCAAAACAGCAAGCGAAUAAGGAGUGUGACACACAGAUUUGUUUUACCGAGGUUCGGUUCUCGCAAACCUACUCCCCGUUGGGGUGGUCACAAAGACCGGGUCUCUUUCAACCCUUUCCCUCUCUCAAACGGUCCCUCGGACCGAGUGAGCUUCUCUUCUCAAUCAAACGGGAACCAAACUUCCCCGCAAGGACCACCACACAAUUGGUGUCUCUUACCUUGGUUACAAUUGAGUUGAUCGCAAGAAAGAAUGAGAGAAAGAAGCAAUCAAAGCGCAAGAGCUCAAAUGAACACAACAAAUCUCUCUCACUAAUCACUAAAGCUUUGUGUGGAGUUGGGAGAGGAUUUGAUCUCUUUGGUGUGUCUUGUAUUGAAUGCUAGCUCUUGUAAGUAGUUGGAAGGUGGAAAACUUGGAUGCCUUGAAUGUGGGGGUGGUUGGGGUAUUUAUAGCCCCAACCACCAAACUUGACCGUUGGUGGAGGCUGCUGUCGAUGGGCGCACCGGACAGUCCGGUGCGCCACCGGACACUGUCCGGUGCGCCAGCCACGUCACCAGGCCGUUGGGUUCCGACCGUUGGAGCUCUGUCUUGUGGGCCCGCCUGGCUAUCCGGUGGUGCACCGGACAGGCCCUGUAGGCUGUCUGGUGUGCCACCCGCGCGUGCUCUGCUCCUCUGCGCGCGCAGGCACGCAUUUAAUACGUUGCAGUCGACCGUUGCGCGCGAAGUAGUCGUUGCUCCGCUGUCACACCGGACAGUCCGGUGUGCGCCGGACACUGUCCGGUGACUCACCAGACAGUCUGGUGAAUUAUAGCGGAGCGGAUUCCCGAAGCUGGCGAGUUCAGAGUUGCUCUCCCUUGGAGCACCGGACACUGUCCGGUGGUGCACCGGACACUGUCCGAUGGCCCACCGGACAGUCCGGUGCGCCAGACCAGGGCAGACUUCGGUUAUCCCUUGCUCUCUUUGUUGAACCGUUUUCUUGGUCUUUUUAUUGGCCUUUUGUGAACCUUUGGCACCUGUAGAACUUAUAGACUAGAGCAAACUAGUUAGUCCAAUUAUUUGUGUUGGGCAAUUCAACCACCAAAAUCAAUUAGGAAAUAGGUGUAAGCCUAAUUCCCUUUCAGACGGUCCAUUGCAGAUCCGACUGAGAAAUUAGAUCGCCCUUGCCUUGGGAGGGAAGAUCUUGAACUUGCUUGAAGAAGUCGUCUCUGAUCUGAGCCUGUGAGUGUAGGAGGACCUUCACCGAACUUAUCGGAUCCAGAGGAGGAGGUCUGGCCCUAAGACCGAGCCGCGAGGCCGCCGCGCGGGAGGCCGACCCGAGCCCGCCGCGGAGGGGAGCGCGAGCCCAGCGCGCGGCGGAAGGAGGGCCCCCCACGCCGGAAUCGGAUGACCAAGGGAUGUGGCGGCGCCAUUCGCCCUCAUCCUAACCCGGUGUAUAUAGUCACCUUAUGUGCAAUAUAACCUUCUUUUCCUCAUAAGUGUCAUCUUGACUGUCACCUUCACACAUAGAGGUAUCCCAGUCCCAUUGUUUAUUCUCCUCAAAAAUAACAUCUCUAUUGACCACAAGUCUUCUGGUGCUUGGAUCAAAUAGUCUAUACCCUUUUGUACCUGACUCGUACCCAAUGAACACGAUUCACUUAGAUCUGUCUGAUAAUUUGUUUAUGCCUGGACCGAGUUGUUUUACAUGUGCUAGACAGCCAAACACCCUUAGAUGAUUCACCUUGGGGUUUUUCCAUGCCAAGCCUCAAAAGGAGUUCUACUUUUGAGAGCUUUUGUGGGUGAUCUAUUCAAUAGAUACACUGCAGUUCUGACUGCCUCGCCCCAGAAAAUCAUGGGAACCUUCAUUGCUUUUAGUAAACACCUGGACAUCUCAACCACAGAUUGAUUCCUCCUCUCCACUACUCCAUUCUGCUGUGGUGAGUAAGGAGUGGUAGUGUAGUGCUUUACAUUUUGGUUACAGAAAUAUGUGAAGAGGUUUGAAGUGAACUCGCCCCCUCUGUCUGUCCUUAGCCCUUUCAGCCGCUUACCAGACUCAGUUUCUGCUCUCAGCUUUAGGUUUUUGAAGAAACCAAACGCCUGAUCUUUUGUCUGAAGCAUUUCCACCCACAUAUAUCUGCUAUGGUCAUCUACCACAAGUAGAAAAUAAGAUGCCCCCUAUGCUUUUCGGAGUGAUUUGCCCACAUAAAUCUGCAUGUACUUAUUCUAGACAGCUUUCAGCUCUGAAAUUUGAAGCUUGAGGAAAAGGUUUUCUGUGUUGUUUUCUAAGGACACAACCAUCACACAACUUUUCUAGUCUCUUCACUGUCGGCAUUCCCUCUAACAAACUUCUACCACUUAAAUCAUGUAAAGCCCUGAAAUUUAGGUGACCAAAUCUGGCAUGCCAUUUCCAGCCUACUUCUUCAGAGUUAGUCAGCAGACAGAUUGGUGAUGUCAGGCCAAAUCUAGUAGUGUAUAACAUGUUACCAGCCCUUUCAGCAACGAUUAAUAGUUUGCAUUCUUGAUCAUAAACACACAGUUUCCCAUUUUUUCUUCAUAUUUAAAGCCUUUUUCUUCUAACUGACCGAGACUAACAAUAUUGCACUUCAUCUUAGGAAUAUAAUACACAUCAGUCAAGACUUUAUGACCUCUACUCUGAUCUUGCAUAACCACCGAGCCCAUACCUUGAAUUAUGACUCGAGAGCCAUCACCUAGCCGAACUGUUCCCUGAACAUUUGAAUCAAUCGGUGUCAGCAUUGAUCUUGAACCUGUCAUAUGAUUGCUUGCACCUGUGUCUAGCACCCACAUAUCAUCAGACAUCGAGAUGGGUGUUAUGCCUUGAGAGAGAUGAACAUGUUGGCCGUGUCUGUGAACGACAUCAUAGGUCGCCAGCAUCAGUGCACCGGGGUGAUCAGCACCACCCACAACCACGUUUGCCUCUGGAGCUGGCACUUCCUUUUUACUCCCUUUCUUUGGGCGUUUGCAAUCUUCCGCCCAGUGACCAUAGAUGCCACAAUUUCGGCAUCGACCUUUUUGCCUCGGAGUUCCUUCAGAGGUUAAUUUUACCUGUCCAGAGUUGCUCCCUUCAUGUCACGACGACAUCUUGGUCUUGGGAAAAGAAACACUGGAGUUACCAUCGCCGUCGUGGUGACUACCACACAGAUGGUAUUUGUGCUUCUCCAGCCAUUCUUCCUCCGCUAGAAGGAGACGGCCUGUCUUAUCGACGAGGUGUUCGAUCUUGUCGUCGAAUCGAUCCUCCGCCGCACGCAGGCGCCCCACCAACUCAUCCACAGAGAGUUGUUUUUAAUCACAAAACAUCUCAAUUGUUACCACUACCUGGGUGAACCGUGCAGGGACCACGCAGAGAAAUUUCUUGACGACGCGAACAUCUUCCACGAUUUCGCCGAGUGCUCGGAGGUUGCCGACGAGGUUGGUGAUUCUCAUCCCGAAAUCCUCGACAGAUUCACCGUCUUUAAAUUUGAUAUUCUCAAAUUCUUGGAGAAAUUUCUGGGCGUUCACCUCCUUCACCCGAUCAAUGUCGAGCCGCACCAGUUUCACUGCCUCCCACGCCUCCUUCACGGUCGACCGAGCACCAAGCGUUUGCCACAUUUCCUUCGGUACUGAGCGCAGGAGCGCGCUCAUGGCUUGACGAUCUUGCGACCGCUUGGUGUUGAUUCCAUGAUCAAUCACACCCCAAAUCAACAUCGACCACUCGGCAUAAUUAUCGCGCAUGAGGAGAGGCCACUUCAGAGAGCUCUCUUUCACGCCAGCCCCGGAGGUCGAUGCAUCACUCAUGGUGAUCGACACUUGACGACGGGGAAUGACACGCUUCUUCUUUGGCGGUUCUUGUGGGGGACUCACCGACCCGUCGUAUUGCAUACAACCACGGCUCUGAUACCAGAAUGUUGGACCGGAUCGACGGCGAACAGCGCAAAGAACUCAGUGUAGUGCAGUGUCCCCGGAGCGCGAUCACCACGUCUGAACGGAAGAGAGGACACAGUUGUAUUUUCUGUUGCCGCAACUGCGCAACCUUGCAAAUGCAUUGAACUGGGAAUUAAAACACCGGGAUCCGUCUUCCCCGCUGCACUCAGCUGCUGCGAGACAUGCCGUAAUUUCAGCAACGUCCGCGACAUGCACGGCGAGCUAAGUCGCAGCGGAAAAAACACCCUUUGAAGCGGUCACGGCGAGGACUGAGUGCACUCGUCAGUCCGCCCAUGAUUCUACGCCAAAUUACAAAUAUGCACGCGCAAUCUAAAACAAACUAAGGCACCUACUAACAAUAUCCCUGACAAGAUUACAGUGAGGCUACUACAACAUGAAGCAGAUAUCGUCUCAUGAGAAGGAAGAAGGUUAUAUGUAGAGGAGAAUACAUGCCUUGUAGAUGUGAUAUCUGCCCAUGAUCGAUCUGCUAUGUUAUAUAUUCAGGAACCUUGAGAAUGCUUAGUUGAUGCACUAGCAUGCAUCUAGCGAUUACUUAUAAGAUUUCCAUGGGUUUUUUAUAAAAUGCUUACAAGAUGUACAUUGAGGAUUCUGAACUCGUCGAUUCAAGAACUGAGAAGAACAAAAAAAUGUCAACAAAAUAGCCGUUAGACGCGACUUCACAGUACAUAUCAAAAGUCAUAUGCGGUAUAAUAUUGUGUUUGUUAUCUAUAGGUUUUAAUCAAUUAUGUAUUAUAUUGUGUAGUGAUCCAAACAACUCAAGGGACACUAUUAUAGAUUCUACACAUAAGAGUACCUCAAAGGGUCCAAGAAAUUCAACAUGAGCUAUAGGAUGCUAAUGAUGGGAAAGGGGACAAGUCGACACCAAGUCCUGCACAAGAACCAUAGCAAACAUAUGUGGAUUUGUCAUGCACAAUUGUGUGUAUGAAAAAGGAGAUUACUUCAACCAUGACAGUGACUUCACGUGAGAUGAGAAGUACGAGAAGAUUAGAAACUAGGAGCCCCUAGAGUUAGGGGAUUACAACAUACCUGAAGCUUCACUGAAUAGAAAACAUUUGAAGUCUUAGUUUCUUAAUUAUUAUAUAUGUUAGUGUUUGAUGAUCGAUAAUCUUACUUCGGUGUUACCCAAAGUAUGGUUUGGUGGGCUUUGACGGAAACUCAAACUUGAUGGUGAAUUCAAGAUAACAAUUUAGAUAGAUUCAAGCCACUGAAUAGUUAAUACCAUCUGUCAUGUAUGUUAGAUUGUCUUGCAUUGGAUUACUUAUUAUAAGAUGUUACAAGGGGAGUACCCCAUCCUAUCUUCAUAGUAUAGAGGACAGACACAUAAUUCUAGUCCUAGUUAGCUAUGAUAUAAGUGUCUGCAUGUUGUUAGAAACACUGUCUUUUUUAUAGCCGACUAGGUCAGUUUGCUUGUCAUGAAAUCUAUGCCACCAUGUUCCAUGUCUUCCCAGCUGUUCAUGGGUCGACCCAUCUUAUUGUUAGGUAGUAAACCCUAUGGAAAACCAUUACGAUCUUGGCAUCUCAAGCCCACAAGCUCUUUAUGGUUGAACUUUGGCCCAUCUCUAGAUGUGUAUUAUCUAUUUCUAGUAUAUAUUAUAUGUGUUUAAUUUGUGAAAACGGAAUUCAAAUUCAAAAAAUGGUGAAAUCCUAUUUUAAUCUAAAAAUAACCAAUGGAGGUUGACAUAUCAAACAAGAUCGUCUCUGGUAAUGUUUUAAUAGAGGAGGGCAUCUUAGAGCUAUCACCUCCAUUAAAGUAUUAAUUGUGGUGGUUUCCAUAUUCUGCAUCCCUUCAUUAUUGGAUGUAACACAUACAAUUGGUAUAAGUUGAUUGUUGAUGUUAAUAUGGUUAAUGGAGGUGACUUGUCUAGGAUAAAUAUCAUGGGUACGAUGUGGAUCAAAAUCGACUGGUAAUGACAGAUUGAACACCAACACGUUCCGUUCGACCCUUAAAGGGUCGAGGAAAGGAUGCCCUUACUUGAGUCCUCGUUUUUUCCAACCCUCAACCCCCACUACUAAAAAAUCACCCUAAUGCCACAGCAGAUAUUGCAACAACAAUAUUUGUGUUGCAUUAGAUGUUAGUUAUUGCCACAACCUUUAAAAGUGGUUGCAAUAUAUGUAUCGUUUUGCCAUUUUUUGUGCAUUGCGAUAACCAUGACUUUUGUUGCAAGAGAAAGGUGUUAUUGCGACCACUAGAACAGUUGUUGCAAAAUUACUCUAGUGUCACACCGGAUAUUGCAACAGAAAUACAAUUGUAGCAUUAGGUGUUAGUUAUUGCCACAACCUUUAAAAGUGAUUGCAAUUUAUGCACCUUUUUUGCCACUUUUUUGUGCGUUGCAAUAAUCACAACUUUCAUUGCAAGAGAUAGAUGAUAUUGCUACCACUAACAGUUGUUGCAAAAUGUCCCUAGUGGCUCACCGGAUAUUGCAACAUUAGUAAAGUUGUAGCAUUACAUGUUAGUUAUUGCCACGAUCUUUAAAAGUGGUUGUAAUAUAUGCACCUUUUUGCCACUUUUUUGUGCGUUGCGAUAAUCAUGACUUUCGUUGCAAAAGAAAGAUGUUAUUUCUAUCACUAGAAAAGAUUUUGCAAAAGCACCGUAAUGCCACACCGGAUAUUGCGUUAACACUAAAUUUGUUGCAUUAUGUAUAGUUAUUGCCACAACCUUUAAAACUGGUUGAUAUAUAUGCACAUUCCAUGUUUUCUGAAAACCGCUCGACAAAUUUCCAUGUUUUCUGAAUGGCACAUUUACGUUUCAGAACUGUUAAGACGAACAUAACCAUUUUCUGAACAACACGUUUCAGCAAAUAAUCUAAAUGGCAUGUUUCAGAAAAACAUGAAGGCAAAUUCGUUGUUUGACAGCUAGACGAAAGAAAAAUGUUGCGAUUUUGAAUUUGUAUCAUAGAUCAAAUAGCAUAUGGCUAUCGUGGAUAGAAGACGAAAAAAAGUACUGGACCAAAUAGACCCAUCGCCCCUGCUGCCAGAACAAAACCAUUUUCUUCAGUGCUCCUACUGAUACACGCUAUUGAUACUGCUUGUUGUUGCUUUGGUUUUCUUUGAUAUUGCUGAUGGAGUGGUGGUGGUGCACUUAAUAGAAUGUUGAACGCUGCUGAUCUGAACUCUACUAUGUAAACCCAAACAGAAUGCUUGAGUGUUGCUGAACUCUGCUAUCUAAACCCAAACAAAAUGGUGUUCCAAAGGAUGAAAUGAGAUGUAUAACCAACAAUAGAAAAAAGAAUACAUCUUGUUGCCAUGAGUCACUUGUGUGGCACUAGUGUUUUGUUGCCAUGAAGCAUCUUGUGGUAACAAAGCCAUUUGCAACAAAUUCAAACAUGGCAUUAACACUUAUUACCAUAAAAUAUGUUGUGGCAAUACAGUUUUUGGCAACUAUUAUAAAUGUUGCAAUAUAAUUUAUUUGCAACAUAAUAGUUCAUUGUAACAACAAACAACUACAACACUUGAAUACGUUGCAAAGGAUGUAGUAAUUGCAACAGAACGUAAAAAUGUUGCUAUAGCCUAUUGCCACUCUAUUUUUUGCAGCAGCAGGCAACGACAGUUGUUCUAUCGCAAUUGGUGCCUAUUGCAACGAUUUAUAGUCUAUCACAACGAUUGCCCAUUGCAAGAAGGUGAUUUUUUAGUAGUGGUCUAUUGCCACAAAUCAUAUUGCAACAACACAAAUUUCAUUGCAAUAGCUAUGUGUUAUGGCCACAACUUCGAAAAAUGGUUGCGAUAUGUAGACUUUAUUGCCACAAUUUUUUUGUGUUGCAAUAGUUAUUAGUUUUUUGUAAGAGGUAGGUGUUAUGACCACAAUUUGCAAAACCAUUGCAAUAUAUUGAUCAAUGUUACCACGAGUUUCAUAUAGUUGCGAUAUAAUUAAAUUCCAUUGCACAACGGUGAUGCUUCUUGCCACAAAAUAAAAAUGGUUGCAAUAUAGUUACCUAUAUUGCCACAAAUAUCUUUUGUUGUUAUGGUCAUACUGUUCGUUGCAAAAUCAUGAAGUGUAUUGCAACAAAGAUCUAAAUGGAGGUAAUAUAUACUUAUUUUGUUGCAAAAGGUGUAAUGUCAUUGUUAAAAAUAAUCAUCAUAAUAUAUUUAGUUAUUUUAUUAACAAAAAAUGUAGUAGUCUAGUGGCAGAGUAGUUUGUUAUAAACAACAAGACUUGGGUUAUUCCCAAAUUUGGUAGUUUUUAUUUUUAGUCUUAUUUGAUCGAUGCAACUAAUAUGGAAUGCAACAUUUUGUUUUGUUGUGACAACUGGAGCUAUUGCAACGGUACUAAAAAUUGUUGACAUAAGCUUUUGUCACUCUGUUUUCUGCAACGAUUGGCAAGGAAAGUGGCAUUACGGCAAAUGGUAGAACUUGCCACGAUUUAUAGCUGUUUGCAACGAUUUUUCCCAUUGCAGGAGGGUGAUCUUUUAGUAGUGAAUCACUAUGAGACAAGACGACACAUAAUGGAUAUGGAGGUAUCACUACAAUACUAUGACAAAGGGAUUAAGAGUCAUCCACAGGAGUCAUAUGGUCGACCAGAAUUCUAGAGGACAAGGAACUACACGACAAGACUUGACCCUGGCUCGUCCCAUCCCCUCAGUCUGUAAUGAUCCCUCGUCUCGCCUUGGCCUAUAAAAGGAAGGGGAAGGCCAUGAUCUAGGACACAUGCAACAGUUAGCACAAGAAGUUGGCACACUUGUAACACAAGUAGCACUCGCUCGCAUACCAGAGACUUGGGAGCUUCUUCAUAUCUCGAUCAUUAGUAACCCCCUUUUGUAAACAUUAGUGCAUGGUAACGUGAAGUUACUCAACUAGACAUAGGGACAUUUGGCCCAAACUCAUAUAAACCUUUGUAUCCUCCUUGCAUACCAUCUACACCUAGACACACAAAGCACUUGGAUUACUAGUCGGUGAUUUCAAAACACCAACAGUUGGCGCGUCAGGUAGUGGGCCAUUUCAUGUCACGACACUUUCUUCAGCCAACAAAUGACAACCUUGAAGGUUGGCACAAUCAUUGUGACACCCCAGUGUCACCUAGAGUUUCUUCCUUGAGCUAACCCAAACUAUCAUCACAUGUAAACCUAAUGAAGGGAUAAACCUCAAAGAUGAGAACAAAGAUUUAUAAUGAGUCUUCUCAAACUCUCCUUAAUCUUGUCAUGAAUCUUAAGGAAGGAAAACUCUCAAACCCUAAUUAAUCCUAAGUAAACCAAUUAAGCAUAAAGGGUAAUUGGGAGAAAAUCUUGGGGGAAAAGUACAAAUUUUGGUAAAAACCAAAUUACAAAGUUUUAGUUCACCAAUUAACCAACAAAGCAUAGUAAAUAAGUUUUGCCAUUUGAAUUUUUCAAAAUCCCCAAACAACCCCUAAACUAAUGCACUUGGGGGAAAUUCAGAAAUUCAGAAAUAUGAAUUUCAGCCCCUUUCCAAAGAUCAAUUGCAUUCUCUAUUUUUCAAAACUCAAAACCAAAAAGUCCAAAUAUGAAAGUAGUGCCAAAUUUUCUUGAACAGCUCUGGAAAAAUUUGAACUCAAACCAAAUUCAUUUGGCACGGUUUUGGCACCGUUUGACCUCGGGACCGGGCAAUCUGACACUGGCACCUUGGUGACGCUACAACUCUCUGUCCCUAGCCUAAAGCCGCGCGACAUCCACACACAAAAUACAAAGCGCUGUCAGGGGAACAAAUCCUUCACAGCGAUCUUGCCCAAAUUCGCGAAGAUUUGCGCCCAAUCGGCGUUAGAACUCGGGCAGAAGCAACGGUUCCAUGUGUUCGACCGUGGAUGACACCCCCGGUUCACGCCCGUUCACGCACCCGCGCUCCUCAGUGCACGCCCGCGCGCGCUUGCCGGUCCACGACCGCCCGUGCACCGCGCCGUGCCUUUAAAGCAGCCCUGAGCCUCGGCCAUACCUCCCCGCGCGCUCACAAGUCCUGCCCGAGCCAAAGAUCGCCGAAAUUCGCCCCGAGCACGCCGCGCCACCGCCCGCCAAGCUUUCCGAGCCUCGGCCACCGUGGCCAGCCUCCCCCGGUCACUUCCAGGUCGCGCCAGCCGCUCGGUUAGCUCCGCCAAUAGCCCGUGGAGCUUCCCAAGCUCUUAGACCCAGCAGAACUUCACCGGAGGCCCGAGAUCGUCCUCGCCGGACUUCGGUCGCCCGCUGCCGAGCGUGGACCGAGCAAUCCAGUAAGCCAUUUUCAAAUUCCUUGCACCCACGUCCUCCUUAGGACUCAGUGAAGCUCUCUGACCCGUUUGAUUGAACUAUCGCGCUGUGAGUAGGCCGGAUUCCUCACCGCCGACGAGCAUCUCCGCCUGCGCACGUGGACCGGCCGACUCUGACCAUCCCCGACGACGACCCGCACAUCACCGUGAUCCUCGAGACCUCCCCUACGUCCUCGACCACCUCACCAGAGCAGCCUCGCCGCCGGUAAGCCCCUCCACCUCUUUCUUUCUCUGCGGCUACUGUUCCAUUAGGGAGGGACCGCGGGUUCGAUUUCCAGAAACCCUAGGGGGUUUUCUGCAGAGCCGUAGACUCGAAUGAAUAGUGCCCCGGGGACCUGUCUGUAAUUCCCUAGAGAUCUUUCGCCAGAGACCCCAGCGCAAAACAACUUUUCUUUAAACCAUUUCUAAUUAAUCUUUUAUUAUUCAGCAGAGGACUUAGGAAAUUCAUAACUUGAGAAAUAUUUAACCAAAAUUUGUCAAACUAAUUUUGUUGGAUUCUAAAUAUUAUGGACUAUCAAUUAAAAAUACUACAACCCAUGCUUUCUGUUUUAAAUUUAGAGUUUGAAAUUAAUUAGAGAAACUGACCAAACCUUAUUUAAUUAAAGAAAAUUUGUUAUGCUCUUGUGCUAGGCUUGAGAAAAUUUGUAGAUGUUCAAACCCCAAUUAGAUACUGUUUAAAAAUACUAGACACCCCAGUAUUGGAAGUUUACAUAUAGUUAUCCAAUAAAAGCCAUUUUUGCCAAAAACUUAAGAAAAUCAGAGAAGUAUUAGAAAAUAAGAAACAGUGAAUGCAAUUAUUUUUCCUAGCCUACUUAAGUAAAAGAGAACGUAGGAAAAAAAAGGACCCCUAGUCCAGAACAGAAUUAAGGUGAAAUGUUUUAUUUAGCAUUAUUUCAACUAGAAAACAAUUAUUGGAAUUAUGAAAACAAAUCCAAAAUUGUUAAUAAAAAUCCAGUGGACUUAUAAUCACUAGAACCCCACUACAAAAAUGAUAACCACCCCAGCUCAUCAUUUUAAGUAGGGUAAACAAAUAAAACUUGAUAUUGGAUUCUAUUCCAAAUAAAUCAUGAGCAACCCAAAAAUAAUGCAAUAAUGGGCAAAUAAAAUUAUACUAGAUCAAUGAUGAGAUAAGACACUAGAGAAAAAUUUAAAACCCAAUUGAAGGGUGCAAAUUAAUACCAUUGCCAAUACUUCAUGAAAAAGGCUAUUUAAUCCAAAUAAUUCCUACCACCUUUCCCUUAAGCAAAAAGAUGCCAAACUUCAAAAUGAUUGCUCUUGCACAAAGAAGAAUCUAGGAAAAAAUAGAAAUCUGUUGUUUGAUACUUUUCAAAUAUAGUGGUAGUAGAAAGCACCCCUUUGGCUAGAAACUUUAGAAAAUCAUAGCAAAAUAACUAAUAAGUAUAAAUGGCUAGCAAUUUGUACAAGGUCAUGUUAUAACAUCUAAAUGCCAGCACAAAUAUGUAUUAGAGAAUAACCCUCUUUUAAAAAGGAGCCAUAGUUCAAAACACCCCUCAUGCCCAAAUAUUUUAUAAUUUUAUCCAGAGAGAACUACUUACUUUUUAAACCCCAAAUUUUGAGACAGAGAAUUAUACACUAGUAAGAAGCCACUGUCAUUUUUUCAGAAUGUUUGGAAAUUUAUUAAUAUAACUUGUAGUUCAAACCCACUUUAAAAGCAUAAAGGAAAUAAGAAGAAGAAAGGAAAAUAAUAAACCUCGCUCCAAUAAGUUCAACUAGAAACCUUAUUAAGUUCUCACUAAGACAUUAAAAGGAAAUUAGUGGAACACCAAAAUAGACUUACCACUUAGCUUAACUAAGCUUGACCCUAAUUUGCCAAGUAUACCAUAAGAAUCUUUUGUAGCAAGAAUAAACUCUACCUGAUUUAAGUAGAUUAGUCACCGUUAAAGUUUGCUAAAUUACAUAUCAUAUCAUGCAUGUUUCUUACUCAUUGCAUUCAUUAGACUGCAAUCUAGCUGACGGAGAGUACGUGCUCAUCCCCGAGCAAGGAGUUGUCCACGAGGAAGACCAGGAGCAAGCUCCCGAGACUGCCAUCGAGGAUCUCCCCGCAGCCUCAGCAAUUGAAGGCAAGCCCCAGUUUUAUGCAUAAUCGUAUUUAUAUAUGUUACUUUACUACACUUAAUGUUUGUAGGCUUGUAAUGUGCACUUAAGUGUAGGAAUUGCUUGAAACCUAUAGUUGCAUGAACUUAGGAUCCCUUUUUGAGAUGAAUACUAGUAUGCUAGGUCGAGUAGCUGCUUGCUAAACAGGAUCUCGGUAGAAGUCGAGUGAUUUUUCUAGCACUCGCGCGAGGUCAGGAAUUGAUUGUAUUCAUCUUGAUAACGGGAUCUAUGAUGGUCCAUGGACUUGGAUCAGGGAGGAUGCCUUGUCCAUGAGACGGGAAAAUGAAUUAAGGACUAAUGUGUGGAUACCUGAGUCAAGCGUUUGAACGUACUAAGCACAUGUCGAGAAAUAUGGUAACCGAUAAACCUAGUACCUGAGUGAAGCCGGGCGCGGACUUUAUCCCUCACUUGUCCUGAGACUGGGUCUCCCAUGCUAGCUAUGGUGGGUACAAGUGCCGCCACUGCACGACGUCAGUCGGGGUCAGUGGAGCAUUGUAUGCCAAGGCGAUUAGCCCUGGCCGCAAACGGGGAAUCGAUGGGGAUGGUUGACAUGUGUGGGGGACGGAGUACCCUGACAUGUCGUGUGUUUAGGUUUACCUUGCAAGGAUAAAAACUCGAUUCGAAUUGUCUGCUUCUCGCAGCUAAUGAGACUGCUUGACCCCUUGUACUACAUUGAGUAAGAAGUGAAAUGAGGUUUACAUGAGAUAACUUGUUGAUUGUACUAAAUGCUUGUUACCAUGUAUGCUUAGAAAGAGCAAACUUAGUUAAUCUAAUGAUGCUAGAAAUUGAAAACCUAAAACUUGAUUUUAGAUACAGCUAGUGCUUUUGGCAAACCAAACCCCUCAGCCAAAUAGCUGCAUGGUCUAGAGGUAGGGGAGUAGUUUCCUCACACCGGGUAAGUCUAGCUGAGUAUUAGUAUACUCAGCCUUGCUUAUGGCAUAAUUUUGCAGGUACGCUUCAGGAUAUGGUUGAUGGUGUGACUUGGCCUAUCACCCUGCCACCGGGUUGGACGGUCGAGUGGGAUGCUGCUCUAGCGGGAGAGGAGCAAGAGGAGUAGUGGGCUAGGUCUUUCCCGAUUCCUCGCUACCAACGAUAUUGAUUAUCCGCUGCAUUUUAUUUUGUGUACUUUUAUUAGCUACGUGAAAAACUCCGAUCUAUGUAAUAAUUCAGUACUUUAAAUUGAGGUCUUCCUGUUUUAUUGUAUUUCUUCUGUGACUCACCUUCGUGUGAGAUUGUGGUAUUUGAUCCUGGUUAAGUGGCUUUAUCAGACUAGAUCUGAGGGACUGACGGGUUAUUCCGAUUUAAGUGUGUUAUGGCCCCUGAGGCGUGACUUAGGCACUUAAGUUGGAAUAAUUCGGGUGGUUCUGCCACAGCUGGUAUCAGAGCAAAUUCCACCACAGAGAAGGACAAUAAACCAUGAAUACCAAUUUUCAAAAUCUAAAACUUGCUUAGAAACUGAUAAGAAUCGUCAGGACUAGAACGCUAGACCUAGGACAAAAGGCCUUAGGGAUAGUGGGAGAAAUAGAUGGUUAAGUAAGUAGGCCCUGUGGGCCAGUACUUAGAUUUUUAAAGGACGCCUUAGGAGCACCUUUUAUUUUGGAGAGGAGCCGUUAUUCUUUCUAGCAUGCAUGCAUUAUAAAAUUUGAAGGAUUAAGAAUUAAAGAAGUAAAAAUUCGAGAGAACCUGCUUCUUUUCAAACCAUCCAGGCUCUUUAUUUUUCUUCCUUCCACCAUAAUCUUUACAUCUGAUACCCUUCCGCAGAUGAAUUCACCCACCCCCGCCAGCGGAGGAGACACUCGUUUCAGCUCUAACUUCCUCUCUCACGAUGGCUUUCCUUCCAUCUUGUGGGAAGUGCUUAACUCCACCGGUUACCCCACACCCCUUUGUACACGGUGCAGUUGUAUGAGGAGCAUCGGGUACCUCGUUACCGAGUCUGGCUGACCUUUGAGGCUCAUCCCCUUCAGCCGGGUUGGCGUUCUCUUGACUCCGAGACGAUUGGAUUCAGGGCGGACGACACCACUGAAGCGACAGCCAUGAAGACUCUGACGACUUUCUGUGGCUACCAUCCCCUGGAGAUGAUGAUGCACCCCUUGGGACUUUUCCCUGCUAAGAAGAAGGAUGACCCCAUGUGGUGUAACCGUGUGAACCACGUGAAAGAUGUGUGGGCAAUGUAUCCUGACUUGGUUGGGAGGGUCACUGUUCAGUGCAUGAGUGCGGUGUACCGCCUUCAGGCCCUGUAGAGCGACGCUAUGGCACAUCUUGCUAACAUCGCUCAAACCACCAAGCUCACCCUCGACAGCCGAGAGGAUUUUGUGGUUGACUUGUCCUCCGAGUUGGUGGAGAAGGAUCUACAGGUGGAAAGGUUGAGCCAACGCAUUACCACCUUGGAGCAGCAGGUGGAAAUCCGAGACAACACCAUUGAUGUCUUGGAGAACCAGCUCCACGAUGUGCAGCGGGAACUCGAAGAAGAUAAUGACCACCUGGACAUGCACCACUUAGAGAUGGAGGCCAAUGAAGCCAGAAGCGAGGGAGAAGAGGCUCCCGAGGAGUUAGGACCAGCCCCUGGUGCCAAUGGGACUACCUCCGCGAUGCCCCCUUCAUCCGCAUCUAGUGUCGCUUCCACCGCUCAGGGUUGAUCAGUCACUUUAACGUUUUAGGUGGAUAGAAACCUAUGCGAGCUUAGUUAAUGAUAGAUUUUGGAUUAGGCUUAUGGGUACUUUCCCCUAAUUGAUGUAACCCUUGAGAACUUUUGAGAUCUGUGGGAUGUUGUAACCAUGUUGUCUUCAUUCGAACUUAAUGUUAUGAUUAGGGCAAUUUUCUUUCCAUAUAAGAUGAUAACAUGUCAUUCGAAAAUGCGAGCUGGGAUAACAAUGGCGACAAUCUCUGUUUUCAGAUGGCAGCUAGGCAGCAUCGCGGGCAUAACGAGCAGGUUCCCCCGCCACCUCCCCCAGCUCCCACAGUGCAGGAGCUGAUGGCCCAGCAGAAUGAGAUUCUGCGACAGCUCUUGCAGCGCCAGCCCCACCCCCAACAGCAUGGUGGAGGCCAGCAUCAGCGACCUCUGGCAGCGGCAACCUACCAGGAGUUCCUGAGCACGUAGCCACCCUUGUUCACCAAGGUAGAGGAUCCAUUGGAUGCAGACGUGUGGCUUCGCGUCAUUGAGUCUAAGUUUCCCCUCCUCACAGGAGACUACCCUGAUGAUGCCAAGGCUCGCUUCGCCGCGCAGCAGCUUCGUGGCCCUGCUCGGACAUGGUGGGACCACUUCCGUGCUAUGCUCCCCGCUGAUCAUGAAGUGUCUUGGGAGGAAUUCAAGACGGCUUUCAAAGGGCACCACAUCCUAGCUGGAAUUCUUGAUCGCAAGCUGAAUGAGUUUCUGGCACUUAAUCAAGGAACCCGCACGAUCUUGCAGUAUGCUCAGGCCUUCAACGACAUGUGCCAGUAUGCAGGUUGUCAUGCUGAUUCUGAUGAGAAGAAGAGAGACCGCUUCCGCAGGGGUCUCAACACCAAGCUACGGGAACGUCUCAACACUGUCCGUGCUGAUAGCUUCAAUGAGUUGGUCAACCUGGCCAUCUCCCAAGAGGAUUGUAUUGUAGCUCACCGUUAGAGAAGAAGAGGAAGGCACCAAUGGCAGCACCAUCCGCUCAGGCCCAGAGGUUCAGGAUUGUUUCUCACAAUCAGAGCAGGGGAUUUCAGCAGCAGGCAGGCAGAUGGGUGAUCAGGCCACCUCAGCAGCAGCAGCCGGCACCCAACUGCUUUCCAGCUUUCGCCCUAAGGAACAAUCAGCCUCCGCAGUAGCAGUAGCAGUUCCGCCAGGGCAAUGGGAACAAGUGCUUCACUUGUAGAAAUGUGGGCCACUAUGCCAAGAACUGCCCCAGAAAUCAGAAGAGGCAGAUGCCAGCACCAAGUCAAGACAAGGGGAGGAAGCAGAAGGUACAAGUCAGACAAGGGAAGCUCAACUUCACUACUCUAGAGGAGUUACCCGAGGGAGCCCCCACCAUGACUGGUACCUUUUCAGUUUUUAAUCAAGCUGCUUUAAUUCUGUUUGAUUCUGGUGCAUCUCAUAGUUUCAUUAGCCAGAAGUUUAGUGCUAAAUGCCAAUUGCCCUUCUGUCAUACAAAAGGGUCAUUUAUGAUAGCCACACCUGGGGGUAAAACUGUAACCAACCAAUUAAUCCGAAGUGUGCCUAUUCAAUUGGGAAGCCACAUUAUCAAAACCACCCUUCUUGUUUUGGGUUUGGAAAAUGUGGAUAUUAUUCUGGGCACUAAUUGGAUGACCCUACACCAAGUAGUGCUUGAUGUUGCCAGCCGCAUCGUGGAAGUCAAUUCCCCGAUCUGCGGAAGUUUCACCAUGUUUUUGCCCAGUCAAGACUCUACUCAGUCGUGUGCUUUUGCGAUGACGGAGUUACCCUUGAAGAAGAUUCCAGUAGUCUGUGAGUAUGCAGAUGUCUUUCCUGAUGAAUUGCUAGGAAUGCCACCAGACCGGGACAUUGAAUUUGCCAUCGAGUUGCAACCGGGAAUGGCACCCAUGCCUUAUCGGAUGCCACCCGCUGAGUUGGCAGAAUUGAAGAAGCAAUUGCAAGAGUUGCUGGACAAGGGAUUUAUUCGCCCAAGUACUUCGCCUUGGGGAUGUCCAGCCUUGUUAGUAAAGAAGAAAGAUGAAAGCUUGAGGCUGUGUAUAGAUGACCGCCCCCUUAAUGCGGUGAUUAUCAAGAACAAGUAUCCCUUGCCUCGUAUUGAUGUUCUUUUUGAUCAAUUGGUCAGAGCCAAAGUGUUUUUCUAAGUUAGACAUUCGCUCCGGCUAUCAUCAGAUCAAGAUACGGGCAAGUGAUAUUCCGAGGACAGCUUUCUCAACCAGAUAUGGGCUGUAUGAAUUCUUGGUGAUGUCAUUUGGGCUGACUAAUGCACCAACAUAUUUUAUGUAUCUGAUGAAUUCUGUUUUCAUGCCUGAAUUGGACAAAUUCGUAGUGGUUUUCAUCGAUGACAUCUUGGUGUACUCAAAGAACGAAGAAGAACAUUCCGGGCAUUUGCAUGUAGUGCUUCAACGUCUGCGAGAGCACCGUCUUUAUGCCAAAUUGUCAAAAUGUGAUUUUUGGCUAAAGGAGAUCAAAUUUUUGGGUCACACUAUCUCUCAGGUAGGCAUAGCUGUUGAUCCUGAUAAGGUUCAAGAGGUGAUGAACUGGAAGCCACCCAUGACUGUCGUCAGAUUCAGAGUUUUCUGGGAUUAGCUGGUUAUUACCGAAGAUUCAUUCCGGAUUUCUCUCAAAUUGCGAAGCCCAUAACUGAGCUGUUGAAGAAAGAAGCCAAGUUUGUUUAGGGUCAGAAGUGCGAAGAUGCCUUCCAUGCAUUGAGGCAACAUCUGACCACAGCACCAGUGUUAGCGCAACCCGACAGCAGCAAGCCAUUUGAUGUGUAUUGUGAUGCCUCUGUCACUGGACUAGGUUGUGUCUUGAUGCAAGACAACCGAGUCAUUGCUUAUGCAUCAAGAUCACUCAGGCCUCAUGAGCAAAAUUAUCCUACUCAUGACUUGGAGUUAGCAGCGGUGGUUCAUACAUUAAAAAUGUGGAGGCACUAUUUUAUGGGAACCCACUGCAACAUCUUCACUGAUCAUAAGAGCCUUAAGUAUAUCUUUACUCAGGCUGAUCUCAACAUGUGGCAGAGAAGAUGGCUAGAGUUGAUCAAGGAUUAUGACCUGGAGGUACAUUAUCACCUAGGGAAGGCCAAUGUGGUAGCAGAUGCCUUGAGUCAGAAGUUGCAAUGUAACUGUGUUAUGAUGGAUUCUUGUAUUGACACCUUGUGUGAUGAGUUGAGCAAUAUGAAGAUUGAAGUAAUUCCUUCUGGUGCUUUGUCUCACAUUUCUGUUGAGCCAGCUUUGCAAAACCAUAUCAUCAUGGCCCAGCUCAGUGACAAGGGAGUGCAAAUUAUUAAGGAGAAUCUCCAUCAGAAGACCGAGCAGUAUAAAUGUUUCCGCCAAGAUGGAAAGGGUAUAUUAUGGUUUGAAAGCAGAUUGGUGGUUCCUAAAAACCAGGAUCUCAAGAAGAAAAUCUUGGAUGAGGCCCAUCUCUCCAAAUUCUCCAUGCAUCCAGGGAGCACCAAAAUGUACCAUGAUCUGAAGCCCUUGUAUUGGUGGACCAGAAUGAAGAGGGAGAAAGCCCGAUAUGUAUCGGAAUGUGACACCUGUCAGAGGAUAAAGGCAAGCCACUUGAAAUCAGCUCGAGCUUUGCAACCCCUGUCUAUACCUUCGUGGAAAUGGGAUGACAUCAGCAUGGAUUUCAUUGUGGGUCUGCCCAACACCUCUCGUCAUCAUGAUUCGAUUUGGGUUAUUGUGGACCAACUAACGAAAGUGGCACAUUUUCUCCCAGUGCACACCACUGAUAAGGCUCAAAAGUAUGCAGAGUUGUACAUUGACCGGAUCGUGUGUUUGCACGGAUUGCCCCGGACCAUUGUUUUUGACCGAGGAGCCCCAUUUGUUGCCAGAUUUUGGGAACAACUGCAAGAGUCCUUGGGAACCAAGGUAAUCAGAAGUUCAGCUUACCACCCACAGACUGAUGGUCAGAUCGAAAGGGUAAAUCAAAUUCUUGAAGAUAUGCUGAGGGCUUGUGCAAUCGAUUGUGGCAAGAACUGGGAUAAGAACCUCUCCUUGACAGAGUUUGCUUAUAACAACAGUUAUCAAUCCAACCUAAAGAUGGCACCCUUCGAAGCUCUAUGGGAGAAGAUGCAGAACACCACUCAAUUGGUCUCAGCCUGGAGAGAGAGAAGUUUUUGGACCUGACUUAGUGACUGAAGCCGAAAGGAAGGUCAAACUAAUCAGGAAGAAUCUAGAAGCUGCUCAGGACAGGCAAAAGAGUUACCAUGAUAAGAGAAGGAAACCUCUCCAGUUCGAGGUGGGAGAUUUCGUUUAUCUAAAAGUAUCAGCCACCAAGGGAGUGUAGAGGUUUCGGAUCAAAGGCAAGUUAGCCCCUCGCUACAUUGGACCUUAUGAGAUCAUAGAGGCAUGUGGACCCGUGGCAUACAAGUUGAAGUUACCUCCAAAAAUGUCUGCCAUCCACAAUGUGUUCCAUGUAUCUCAACUGAAAAAGUGUGUUCGAUUGCCGACUGAGAUCAUAGCGGAACCAGAAUUGGAGAUAGCGCCAGAUCUAUCGUACCAAGAGUACCCUUCCAUGAUUCUGGAUUGCAAAGAAAGAUCAACUCGGGCAAAAUCGAUCAAGAUGUAUAAGAUCCAAUGGAGUAAUCACUUAGAGGAAGAAGCUACUUGGGAGACUGAAGAAUUUCUGCGUUCCAACUUUCCUGAUUAUCUGCCUAAGGAAAUUGGUACGUAUUCAUGCCCAAUCCCUCCUCCUGCCCUUCGAAUCUAAAUUUCAGUAAUAUAAUCUUGAAUUGGAAAGAAUAAGUUAUAGAACAAAAUUCAAAAUGACUUCCUUCUGAAGUUGCAAAGAGAAUGACAUUCAAAGAGCAGUUUGCCUUAAUAAAGAAAGCAUCUACUUCGAGUAAGUCUCACCCUUCACUUCACCCCGGUAGGACUCCGGCCCGAAUCUUGGGACGAGAUUCCUUUAAGGGGGAAAGGUUGUGACACCCCAGUGUCACCUAGGGUUUCUUCCUUGAGCUAUCCCAAACUAUCAUCACAUGUAAACUUAAUGAAGGGAUAAACCUCAAAGAUGAGAACAAAGAUUUAUAAUGAGUCUUCUCAAACUCUCCUUAAUCUUGUCAUGAAUCUUAAGGAAGGAAAACUCUCAAACCCUAAUUAAUCCUAAGUAAACCAAUUAAGCAUAAAGGUAAUUGGGAGAAAAUCUUAGGGGAAAAGUACAAAUUUUGGUAAAAACCAAAUUACAAAGUUUUAGUUCACCAAUUAACCAACAAAGCAUAGUAAAGAAGUUUUGCCAUUUGAAUUUUUCAAAAUCCCCAAAACAGCCCCUAAACUAAUAACUUGGGGGAAAUUCAGAAAUUCAGAAAUCUGAAUUUCAGCCCCUUUCCAAAGAUCAAUUGUGUUCUCUGUUUUUCAAAACUCAAAACCGAAAAGUCCAAAUAUCAAAGUAGUGCCAAAUUUUCUUGAACACGCUCUGGAAAUUUUUGAACUCAAACCAAAUUCAUUUGGCACGGUUUUGGCACCGUUUGACCUCGGGACCAGGCAAUCUGACACUGGCACCUUCGUGACGCUACAACUCUCUGUCCCUAGCCUAAAACCGCGCGACGUCCACACACAAAAGACAAAGCGCUGUCAGGGGAACAAAUACUUCACAGCGAUCUUGCCCAAAUUUGCGAAGAUUUGUGCCCAAUCGGCGUUAGAACUCGGGCAGAAGCAACGGUUCCACGUGUUCGACCGUGGCUGACACCCCUGGUUCACGCCAGUUCGCACACCCGCGCUCCCCAGUGCACGCCCGCGCGCGCUCGCCGGUCCACGACCGCCCGUGCACCGCGCCAUGCCUAUAAAGCAGCCCCGAGCCUCGGCCAUACCUCCCCGCGCGCUCACAAGUCCUGCCCGAGCCAAAGAUCGCCGGAAUUCGCCCCGAGCAUGCCGCGCCACCGACCGCCAAGCUUUUCGAGCCUUAGCCACCGUGGCCAGCCUCCCCCGGUCACUUCCAGGCCAAGCCAGCUGCUCGGUUAGCUCCGCCAAUAGCCCGUGAAGCUUCCCAAGCUCUCAGACCCAGCAGAACUUCAUCGGAGGCCCGAGAUCGUCCUCGCCGGACUUCGGUCGCCCGCCACCGCGUGUGGACCGAGCAAUCCAGUAAGCCAUUUUCAAAUUCCUUGCACCCACGUCCUCCCUAGCACCCAGUGAAGGUCUCUGAACCGUUCGAUUGAACUAUCACGCCGUGAGUAGGCCGGAUUCCUCGCCGUCGACGAGCAUCUUCGCCUGCGCACGUGGACCGACCGACUCUGACCAUCCCCGACGGCGACCCGCACAUCGUCGUGAUCCUCAAGACCUCCCCUACGUCCUCGACCACCUCACCGGAGCAGCCUCGCCGCCGGUAAGCCCCUCCACCUCUUUCUUUCUCCGUGGCCACUGUUCCAUUAGGGAGGGACCGCAGGUUCGAUUUCCAGAAACCCUAUGGGGUUUUCUGCAGAGCCGUAGACUCGAAUGAAUAGUGCCCCGGGGACCUGUCUGUAAUUCCCUAGAGAUCUUUCGCAAGGGACCCCAUCGCAAAACUGCUUUUCUUUAAACCAUUUCUAAUUAAUCUUUUAUUAUUCAGCAGAGGACUUAGGAAAUUCAUAACUUGAGAAAUAUUUAACCAAAAUUUGUCAAACUAAUUUUGCUGGAUUCUAAAUAUUAUGGACUAUCAAUUAAAAAUACUGAAACCCAUGCUUUCUGUUUUAAAUUUAGAGUUUAAAAUUAAUUAGAGAAACUGACCAAACCUUAUUUAAUUAAAGAAAAUUUGUUAUGCUUCUGUUCUAGGCUUAAGAAAAUUUGUAGAUGUUCAAACCCCAAUUAGACACUGUUUAAAAAAUACUAGACACCCCAGUAUUGGAAGUUUAAGUAUAGUUAUCCAAUAAAAGCCAUUUUUGCCCAAAACUUAAGAAAAACAGAGAAGUAUUAGAAAAUAAGGAACAGUGAAUGCAAUUAUUUUUCCUAGCCUAUUUAAGUAAAAGAGAACCUAAGAAAAUUAAAAGGACCCCUAGUCCAGAACAGAAUUAAGGUGAAAUAUUUUAUUUAGCAUUAUUCCAACUAGAAAACAAUUAUUGGAAUUAUGAAAACAAACUCAAAAUUGUUAAUAAAAAUCCAGUGGACUUAUAACCACUAGAACACCACUACAAAAAUGAUAACCACCCCAGCCCAUCAUUUUAAGUAGGGUAAACAAAUAAAAUUUGAUAUUGGGUCCUAUUCCAAAUAAAUCAUGAGCAACCCAAAAAUAAACAAUAAUGGGCAAAUAAAAUUAUACUAGAUCAAUGAUGAGAUAAGCCACUAGAGAAAAAUUCAAAACCCAAUUGAAGGCUGCAAAUUAAUACCAUUGCCAAUACUUCAUGAAAAAGGCCAUUUAAUCCAAAUAAUUCCUACCACCUUUCCCUUAAGCAAAAAGAUGCCAAACUUCAGAAUGAUUGCUCUUGCACAAAGAAGAAGCUAGGAAAAAUCAGAAAUUUUUUGUUUGAUACUUUUCGAAUAUAGUGGUAGUAGAAAGCACCCCUUUGGCUAGAAACUUUAGAAAAUCAUAGCAAAAUAACUAAUAAGUAUAAAUGACUAGAAAUUUGUACAAGGUCAUGUUAUAACAUCUAAAUGCCAGAAAAAAUAUGUAUUAGAGAAUAACCCUCUGUUAAAAAAGAGCCAUAGUUCAAAACACCCCUCCUGCCCAAAUAUUUGAUAAUUCUAUCCAGCGAGAACGACUUACUUUUUAAACCCCAAAUUUUGAGACAGAGCAUUAUACACCAGUAAGAAACCACUGUAAUUUUUUCAGAAUUUUUGGAAAUUUAUUAAUAUAACUUGUAGUUUAAACUCACCUUAAAAGCAUAAAGCAAAUAAGAAGAAGAAAGGAAAAUAAUAAACCUCGCUCCAAUAAGUUCAACUAGAAACCUUAUUAAGUUCUCACUAAGACAUUAAAAGGAAAUCAGUGGAACACCAAAAUAGACAUACCACUUAGCUUAACUAAGCUUGACCCUAAUUUGCUAAGUAUACCACAAGAAUCUUUUGUAGCAAGAUUAAACUCUACCUGAUUUAAGUAGAUUAGUCACCAUCAAAGUUAAUUGCUAAAUUUCAUAUCAUAUCAUGCAUGUAUCUUACUCAUUGCAUUCAUUAGACUGCAAUCUAGCUGACGGAGAGUACGUGCUCAUCCCCGAGCAAGGAGAUGUCCACGAGGAAGACCAGGAGCAAGCUCCCGAGACUGCCAUCGAGGAUCUCCCCGUAGCCCCAGCUAUUGAAGGCAAGCCCCGGUUUUAUGCAUAACCGUAUUUAUAUAUGCUACUUUACUACACUUAAUGUUUGUAGGCUUGUAAUGUGCACUUAAGUGUAGGAAUUGCUUGAAACCUGUAGUUGCAUGAACUUAGGAUUCCUUUUUGAGAUGAAUACUAGUAUGCUAGGUCAAGUAGCUGCUUGCUAAAUAGGAUCUCGGUAGAAGUCGAGUGAUUUUUCUAGCACUCGCGCGAGGUCAGGAAUUGAUUGUAUUCAUCUUGAUAACGGGAUCUAUGAUGGUCCAUGGACUUGGAUCCAGGGAGGAUGCCUUGUCCAUGAGAUGGGAAAAGGAAUUAAGGACUAAUGUGUGGAUACCUGAGUCAAGCGUUUGAACGUACUAAGCACAUGUCGGGAAAUAUGGUAACCGGUAAACCUAGUACCUGAGUGAAGCCGGGCGCGGACUUUAUCCCUCACUUGUCCUGAGACUGGGUCUCCCAUGCUAGCUAUGGUGGGUACAAGUGCGGCCACUGCACGACGGCAGCCGGGGUCAGUGGAGCAUUGUAUGCCAAGGCGGUGAGCCCUGGCUGCGAACGGGGAAUCGAUGGGGACGGUUGACAUGUGUGGGGGACGGAGUACCCUGACAUGUCGUGUGUUUAGGUUUACCUUGCAAGGAUAAAAACUCGAUUCGAAUCGUCUGCUUCUCGCAGCUAAUGAGAAUGCUUGACCCCUUGUACUACAUUGAGUAAGAAGUGAAAUGAGGUUUACAUGAGAUAACUUGUUGAUUGUACUAAAUGCUUGUUACCAUGUAUGCUUAGAAAGAGCAAACUUAGUUAAUCUAAUGAUGCUAGAAAUUGAAAAGCUAAAACUUGAUUUUAGAUACAGCUAGUGCUUUUGGCAAACCAAACCCCUCAGCCAAACAGAUGCAUGGUCUAGAGGUAGAGGAGUAGUUUCCUCACACUUUGUAAGUCUAGCUGAGUAUUAGUAUACUCAGCCUUGCUUGUGGCAUAAUUUUGCAGGUACACUUCAGGAUAUGGUUGAUGGUGUGACUUGGCCUACCACCCUGCCACCGGGUUGGACGGUCGAGUGGGAUGCUGCUCCAGCGGGAGAGUAGCAAGAGGAGUAGUGGGCUAGGCCUUGCCCGAUUCCUCGCUACCAACAAUAUCGAUUAUCCGUUGCAUUUUAUUUUGUGAACUUUUAUUAGCUACGUGAAAAACUCCGAUCUAUGUAAUAAUUCAGUACUUUAAAUUGAGGUCUUCCUGUUUUAUUGUAUUUCUUCUCUGACUCACCUUCGUGUGAGAUUGUGGUAUUUGAUCCUGGUUAAGUGGCUUUAUCAGACUAGAUCUGAGGGACUGACGGGUUAUUCGGAUUUAAGUGUGUUACGGCCCCUGAGGCGUGACUUAGGCACUUAAGUUGGAAUAAUUCGGGUGGUUCUGCCACAAUCAUGUCCGUGUGAUAGGAUCCACAUGGUGGCAAAAUGUCCUGGGGUACCCGCGACAUGUGAUCCAUUCUAAGCACGAGUGGGCGCACUCAGGAACAACGUGAGAUGCUAUGCGUCUGCCAUCGCCAACGCGGCGAGCACUACGACAGCAGUGAGGACUGAAGCCCGAGCCCCUGACCACAUGGGGGUUGGGGCUUUCAAGUGGCCUCAUGGCAAGAUAGGGGGUGACAGGAUACCCAUCUAGGGCGUCCCUAGCCAUGCCAACACGCGUGCAAAGUGCAACAAAAAGAUUAAAAGGAGCAAAAGCAGGCGGAUACCCUGCUUGCAAUCGUCGCUUACCACAAAAAGGGUCAGUCGCCCACCAAAGAGACAACCCCGACUUCUUUGAAAAGAAGUUGGAACAACCCUGUCCAAACCUUGCUUUACCAAUCAAACAUUUGUAUAUAGACUGCAGUUUGACAAGGAAAUUCUUCUUUAGUGGACCGAGAAGAGGAGUGUUGCACGAGAUGUCAACCUUGACUGCGAGCGAUGUCGACAAGGAGGACAAGGAUUAGGGCUUCCAAGAAUUAGAUGGGAGCCUCAGAUCAACGACGACAACACCAGAUCACCAUGUACCUCUAUGUUCUUUCCUUUUCAUCAGAUGUACUGGGGUUGCCUUUCUAAAGGACAUGGAAAAUUGUCCUAUCUAUAUACCCUCCUACAAGAGAGUAACAUCGUCAACUGACUCGACCCCUCUUACUCGAGGGUUGUUAAGGGGAUGACUCCAUGAUGUGGCCUCUAAGCAUCGGACCUCACGAUCUUAGCAAAUAAGAAGGGUUAGGUCGGACCAAGUGUCUUAAACUCUCGGAACAAUUCCUAUCAACAGUCGAAAUCCUACAGUUACGUACUAAAGUAAACUCUUAUGUAUUUGUUGGCAUUUCGGACUCGGGGGGUCCGUAAGCCGACCAGUAAAUUUGUCGUUGCGUGCCCCUGCCUAGAUGGGUUGGCGCGAGAUGGAACACAAGGGGAAAGCACGGCUCGUGUUAUCUCGCACCAGGGGGGAUGUGCUCGUAGUAGGGGUUACAAGUGUUCGCGAGAGAGAGGGAGUGAGCCUGUUCGUUAGCUCGUCCUUCCCCCACGCGACCCCCCCCCCCGCAGGAAGGCCUUGAACCUUCCAUUUAUAGAUGCAAGGAGAGGGUCCAGGUGUACAAUGGGGGUGUAGCUAUGCGCUAACGUGUCUGGCAGAGAGGUGCCUGAGCCCUGUGUACAUGCCAACGUGGCUGUCGGAGAGGUGCUAGAGCCCUGUGUAUGUGAUAACGUGGCCGUCGGAGAAGUGCCUGAGCCCUAUAGAAGCGCAGCUGGCGGUGCUGCUGGGAUCCUGCUGAUGUCUCCUUGCUUCCGUAGGGGGCUGAGAACCACCGUCGUCAUGGAUGCACGCGGGGAGCCAUCAUUACCUAUUACCGGGACGAGCCAGAUGGGACGACGGUCUUGUUCCCUCGUAGCCUGAGCUAGCUAGGGGUAGGGUAAUGAUGUAUCCCCUGUGGCAUGGUCGGUCCGAGCCCAAGGUCGGGCGAGGCGGAGACUUCUCUUGAGGCCGAGGCCAGGGUCGGGCGAGGACGCGAUUCCUCCCGAGGCCGAGGCUAAGGCCGAGUCUUGGGGUCGGGCGAGGCGGAGACCUCCUCCCGAGGCCAAGGCCUAAGGUCGGGCGAGGCGGAGCUUCCUGUUGCGCCCGAGGCUGAACUUGCUGUUGUCAGCCUUGCCUGGGUGGCUGGCACAGCAGUCGGAGCGGGUUGAGCGGCGCUGUUUUCCUGUCAGAUCGGUCAGUGAAAGGGUGAAGUGACUGCGGUCACUUCGACCUAGCCGACUGAGGCGCGCGUGUCAGGAUAAGGUGUAAGGCGAUCCUCGCAUUGAAUGCACCUGCGAUACGGUCGGUUGGUGAGGCGAUUUGGCCAAGGUUGCUUCUCGACGAAGCCUGCCCGAGCUGGGUCUCGGGCGAGCCGAGGGUGCGCCCACUGCCUGAGGAGACCCUCGGGUGAGGCGUGAACUCGUCCGGGACUACUCUUCCUGCCCGAGGUCAGGCUCAGGCGAGGCGAGAUUGCGUCCUGUGGUAGACGAGGCCUUGACCUAAACCGCGCCCAUCAGUCUCUGGUGUUUGUGCUGAUGGUGCUUACCAGCCGUGUUUAGGAGUGUUGGGGGUACCCCUAAUUAUGGUACCCGACAGUAGCCCUCGAGCCUCAAAGGGAGUGUUGGUACUCGCUCGGAGAGUGGUUUGACUCCUCUGAGGUCUUAACGCUUUUCGUGAUGCUUCGGCCGGCAUGGUCAUUCCCUCAUGCGGCCUGGCCAUAGCCCGGGUGCAUGGUCAGGUUCUGAGUUUUAAGGCUGGUUUGUUGACGCUAUCAACAGUUUGGCCAUAGCCGGGUUGCGAGAGCAGCCCCCGAGCCUUUGCACGGAGUGAGAGGACGAUCAAGGACUAUCUCGACUUUUAUUAUACGCCCCUUCAUCGCCUUUCCGCAAGGAGGAAGGGGGGAAAGCGCCAUGUUGCCCUUGGAGGGCGCCGAACAUGGUGUCUCCAGUGAGUUGCUAACGAGUGAUCCGAGUGGACGCACGUGCCCCGUUCGAUAAGGGUCGGCUAGUGGCCCAGAGGCACGCUCCAAAAGUACCUGCAGGUGAUUUGCUGGACCCGGACCCAUUCGAUAGGGUCCGAGGGCUCGAUGCCUCCCUCUGAUGGAAUUCCAUUACAAAAUCGCUCCUGCUGGUCUCGGAAAUGUCCUAGGGUACCUCGGGAGCGUAGCCCGAGCCUCGGCCAUGUAACGGACGUACCCAGAGUCAUCCCUCGCUCUGCGUGCUCUGGGCGGCUGUGAAAGGGAAAUGUGCCCUUGGGCCAUUUCUAAGUAUUUUGGUGAUUGAGUGCCAACACAAGUGCUUAAAUGUGAAUUUAUGCCCAUGGAUGAACAAAGUGCAAAUCAUGAGUAAAGGUAUGUUUCUAAGCCUUAGUACAUUGGUUUUGUGUACUAAUAUACUUGUCUAAGUGUUAGAAACAGAAAGAAGAAGAAAAGAAAAGAGGUGCAAAAAGCUUGGCUGUGUACAGCCAAGACUUAGCUCUGUCUGGCACACCGGACUGUCCGGUGGUGCACCGGACAGUGUCCGGUGCGCCAGGCUGACUCGGCGUGAAGUGGCCGCUCUCGGGAAUUCGCCGACGGCGUACGGCUAAAAUUCACCGGACUGUCCGGUGUGCACCGGACUGUCCGGUGAGCCAACGGUCGGCCGAGCCAACGGUCGGCAGCGGAAUCUGCGCGUGACACGUGGCCGGGCCAACGGUCGGAAGAGGGCACCGGACUGUCCGGUGUGCACCGGACAUGUCCGGUGCGCCAACGGCUCCCAGAUCUGCAACGGUCGGCUGCGCCAUUUUAGGAAGGAGAUCGGGCACCGGACAGUGUCCGGUGUGCACCAGACUGUCCGGUGCACCCGACGACAGAAAGCAAGAUUGGCCUUCCAGAUUUGCUCUCAACGGCUCCUAGCUGCCUUGGGGCUAUAAAAGGGACCCCUAGGCGCAUGGAGAAGAUAUCCAAGCAACCUUAGAGCAUUCUUGAUCAUCCACACUCAGUCUUUGCGCAUUCGUUUGUCAUUCUCAGUGAUUCGAGCUCCGUUCUAGUGAGAACUUUGAGAUAGUCCUUUGAGCUCGAUUCUUGGCCGUGUGUGUGCGCAUUUUGCUGUGGAUUUGUCUGUGUUGCUUCCCUUCCUUACUCCGUAUUUCUUUGUGAAUCUCAAGUGUAAGGGCGAGAGGCUCCAAGUUGUGGAGAUUCCUCGCAAACGGGAAAAGAUUAAAGUAAAGAAGAACACUGUGGUAUUCAAGUUGAUCAUUAGAUCACUUGAGAGGAGUUGAGUGCAACUCUCGUCCGUUGGGACGCCACAACGUGGAGUAGGCAAGUUUUGUACUUGGCCGAACCACGGGAUAACCACCGUGCCAUCUCUGUGAUUGAUUUCUUGUGGUUAUUGUGUUUUGACUCCUCUCUAGCCACUUGGCAAUUAUUGUGCUAACGAUUAACCAAGUUUUUGUGGCUUAAGUUUUCAAGUUUCACAGGAUCACCUAUUCACCCCCCCUCUAGGUGCUCUCAAUUGGUAUCAGAGCCGUUCUCUUCACAAAGGGACUAACCGCCCGAAGAGAUGGAUCCUAAAGGGAAGGGAAUCGUGAUCAACGACAAGGAGAAGGAGUCCUUCGUCAACGAGCCAAGGGAUGACAAGUCCAACGACUCAGGCUCGGGCCACAGACGCAAAGAUGGGAAGAAGAAGAAGACAAGGCGCAUCAAGGAGAUCGUCUACUACGACGACAGCGAUGAGUCUACUUCUUCCCAAAAGGACGACGACAACGACUACAGGAAGACGGUCAAUUCGAACUUUUCAUUUGAUUAUUCUCGUAUGCCACAUAGUUCGAAUUCGCAUUUGCUUUCCAUUCCUCUUGGCAAACCUCCACACUUCGAUGGGGAGGACUACGGAUUUUGGAGUCACAAAAUGUGUAGUCAUUUAUUCUCUCUCCAUCCAAGCAUAUGGGAGAUUGUAGAGAAUGGAAUGAAAUUUGAUAGCUCGGAUAGCCCUAUGCUUAUAAAUGAACAAAUCCAUAGAAAUGCACAAGCUACUACUGUUCUAUUAGCAUCCUUGUGCAGGGAAGAGUACAAUAAGGUGAGCGGCUUGGACAAUGCCAAGCAGAUAUGGGACACCCUCAAGAUCUCUCACGAGGGGAACGACAUCACCAUGCUUACUAAAAUGGAGUUGGUGGAGGGCGAACUUGGAAGAUUUGCGAUGAUAAGGGGCGAGGAGCCAACUCAAACAUACAACCGGCUCAAGACCCUUAUCAACAAAAUAAGGAGCUAUGGAAGCACGCGAUGGACGGACCAUGACGUCGUCCGACUAUUACUAAGGUCCUUUACCAUUCUUGAUCCUCAUUUGGUGAAUAAUAUUCGUGAAAAUCCCAGGUACACCAAAAUGUCGCCCGAAGAAGUCCUAGGAAAAUUCGUCAGCGGGCGAAUGAUGAUUAAGGAAGCGAGGUACGUGGACGACGCCUUGAAUGGACCGAUCAACGAGCCGCAACCUCUUGCUCUCAAAGCAACAAGAAGCAAGGAGGCGCUACCUAGCAAGGUGGCACAAAUUGAGGCGGUCGGACUUAAUGAUGAAGAGAUGGCUCUCAUCAUCAAACGCUUCAAGACGGUGCUAAAGGGUCACAAGGGGCAGCCAAGCAAGACCAAGACAAAGGGGAAGCGCUCAUGCUUCAAGUGCGGUAAGAUUGGUCAUUUUAUCGCUAACUGCCCCGAUAAUGAUAGUGACCAGGAACAGGGAAACAAGAGGGAAAAGAAGAAGAAUUACAAGAAGACCAAGGGCGAGGCACAUCUUGGAAAGGAAUGGGAUUCGGAUUGCUCCUCUUCCGACUCCGACAACGAGGGACUCGCCGCCACCGCCUUCAACAAAUCAACCCUCUUCCCCAACGAGCGUCACACAUGCCUUAUGGCAAGGGAGAAGAAGGUAUGUACUCGGAACUCUACCUAUGCUUCUUCAAGUGAGGACGAAUCUAGUGAUGAGGAUGAAGUAGAUUACUCAUGUUUGUUUAAGGGCCUAGAUAGAACCAAGGUAGACAAAAUUAAUGAAUUGAUUGAUACCUUGAAUGAUAAGAAUAUGCUUUUAGAAAAGCAAGAGGAUUUGUUGUAUGAAGAACAUGAUAAAUUUGUAGAAGCUCAACGAUCUCAUGCUCUAGAAGUUAAAAGAAAUGAAAUGCUUUCUUGUGAAUUAUCUUCUUGCCAUGAGACAAUUUCUAAAUUAAGGAGCAUUAAUGAUGAUUUGAAUGCUAAGUUAGAGAUUGCUAGUAAAUCUACCUCUUGUGUAGAAAAUAUUGUAACGUGCACUAGAUGUAAAGAUAUUAACAUUGAUGCUUAUAGUGAACACCUAGCUUGCAUUUCUAAAUUAAAUGAAGAGGUAGCUAGUCUUAAUAUCCAACUUAAGACUAGCAAAAGUGAUUUUGAGAAACUAAAAUUUGCUAGGGAUGCCUACACGGUUGGUAGACACCCCUCAAUUAAGGAUGGGCUUGGCUUCAAGAGGGAAGUCAAGAACUUAACAAGCCAUAAGGCUCCCAUCUUCGCCAAGGAGAAAGGGAAGGCCCCUAUGGCUAGUAGUGCUAAAAAGAACUAUGACUUUUUGUAUCAUGAUAAGAGACAAUCUAGAAAUGCUUAUCGGAGUUAUAAUGCAUAUGAUGCUUUUGAUUCUCAUGCCAUGUUUGCUUCUAGUUCUUCCUAUGUGCAUGAUAGAAAUGUUAGUAGGAGAAAUGUUGUUCAUAAUAUGCCUAGGAGAAAUGUUGUUGAUGUUCCUAGGAAAGUAAAUGAACCUUCCACAAUAUAUCAUGCUUUAAAUGCUUCCUUUGCUAUUUGUAGAAAGGAUAGGAAGAUAGUUGCUAGAAAAUUAGCGGCAAGAUGCAAGGGAGACAAAACUUGCAUUUGGGUCCCUAAGGAUAUUUGUGCUAACCUUGUAGGACCCAACAUGAGUUGGGUACCUAAGACCCAAGCCUAAAUUUGCCUUGCAGGUUUAUGCAUCCGGGGGUUCAAGCUGGAUUAUCGACAGCGGAUGCACAAACCAUAUGACGGGGGAGAAGAUGUUCACCUCCUACGUCAAGAAUAAGGAUUCCCAAGAUUCAAUUAUAUUCGGUGAUGGGAAUCAAGGCAAGGUAAAAGGGUUAGGUAAAAUUGCAAUUUCUAAUGAGCACUCUAUCUCUAAUGUGUUUUUAGUAGAGUCUCUUGGAUAUAAUUUGCUAUCGGUUAGUCAAUUAUGCAAUAUGGGAUAUAACUGUCUAUUUACAAAUGUAGAUGUGUCUGUCUUUAGAAGAAGUGAUGGAUCACUAGCUUUUAAGGGUGUAUUAGACGGCAAACUUUAUUUAGUUGAUUUUGCAAAAGAAGAGGCCGGUCUAGAUGCAUGCUUAAUAGCUAAGACUAGCAUGGGCUGGCUGUGGCAUCGCCGCUUAGCACAUGUGGGGAUGAAGAACCUUCACAAGCUUCUAAAGGGAGAACACGUGAUAGGUUUGACUAACGUGCAAUUCGAAAAAGAUAGACCUUGUGCAGCUUGUCAAGCAGGUAAACAAGUGGGAGGAGCACAUCACAGCAAGAAUGUGAUGACCACCUCAAGACCGCUGGAGCUGCUGCAUAUGGACCUCUUCGGACCCGUCGCCUAUCUGAGCAUAGGAGGAAGUAAGUAUGGUCUAGUUAUUGUUGAUGACUUUUCCCGCUUCACUUGGGUGUUCUUUUUGCAGGAUAAGUCUGAAACCCAAGGGACCCUCAAGCGCUUCCUCAGGAGAGCUCAAAAUGAGUUUGAGCUCAAAGUGAAGAAGAUAAGGAGCGACAACGGGUCCGAGUUCAAGAACCUUCAAGUGGAGGAGUUCCUUGAGGAGGAAGGGAUCAAGCACGAGUUCUCCGCUCCCUACACACCACAGAAAAAUGGUGUGGUAGAGAGGAAGAACAUGACGCUAAUCGAUAUGGCGAGGACGAUGCUUGGAGAAUUCAAGACCCCCGAGCGUUUUUGGUCGGAAGCCGUGAACACGGCUUGCCACGCUAUCAACAGGGUCUACCUUCAUCGCCUCCUCAAGAAGACUUCAUAUGAGCUACUAACCGGUAACAAGCCCAAUGUAUCUUACUUUCGUGUAUUUGAGAGCAAGUGCUACAUUCUAGUGAAGAAGGGUAGAAAUUCUAAAUUCGCUCCCAAAGCUGUAGAAGGGUUUUUGUUAGGUUAUGAUUCAAAUACAAAGGCGUAUAGGGUCUUCAACAAAUCAUCUGGUUUGGUUGAAGUCUCUAGCGACGUUGUAUUUGAUGAGACUAAUGGCUCUCCAAGAGAGCAAGUUGUUGAUCUUGAUGAUGUAGAUGAAGAAGAUGUUCCAACGGCCGCGAUACGAACCAUGGCGAUUGGAGACGUUCGGCCACAGGAACAAGAUGAACGAGAUCAACCUUCUUCCUCAACUAUGGUGCAUCCCCCAACUCAAGACGAUGAACAGGUUCAUCAACAGGAGGCGUGUGAUCAAGGGGGAGCACAAGAUGAUCAUGUGAUGGAGGAAGAAGCGGAACCGGCACCUCCAACCCAAGUUCGAGCGAUGAUUCAAAGAGAUCAUCCCGUCGACCAAAUUCUGGGUGACAUUAGCAAGGGAGUAAAUACUCGGUCUCGAUUAGUUAAUUUUUGUGAACAUUACUCUUUUGUCUCUUCUAUUGAGCCUUUCAGGGUAGAGGAUGCCUUGCUAGAUCCGGAUUGGGUAUUGGCCAUGCAGGAGGAACUUAACAACUUCAAGCGCAAUGAAGUUUGGACACUGGUGCCUCGUCCCAAGCAAAAUAUUGUGGGAACCAAGUUGGUGUUCCGCAACAAACAGGACGAGCACGGGGUGGUGACUAGGAACAAGGCUCGACUUGUGGCAAAAGGUUAUGCCCAAGUCGCAGGUUUGGACUUUGAGGAGACUUUUGCUCCUGUGGCUAGGCUAGAAUCGAUUCGUAUCUUGCUAGCAUAUGCCGCUCACCAUUCUUUCAGGUUGUUCCAAAUGGAUGUGAAGAGCGCUUUCCUCAACAGGCCAAUAAAGGAGGAAGUGUACGUGGAGCAACCCCCUGGGUUCGAGGAUGAACGGUACCCCGACCACGUGUGUAAGCUCUCUAAGGCGCUCUAUGGACUUAAGCAAGCCCCAAGAGCAUGGUAUGAAUGCCUUAGAGAUUUCUUAAUUGCUAAUGCUUUCAAGGUUGGGAAAGCCGAUCCAACUCUUUUCACUAAGACAUGUGAUGGUGAUUUGUUUGUGUGCCAAAUUUAUGUCGAUGACAUAAUAUUUGGUUCUACUAAUAAAAAGUCUUGUGAAGAGUUUAGCAGGGUGAUGACGCAGAAAUUCGAGAUGUCAAUGAUGGGCGAGUUGAACUACUUCCUUGGGUUUCAAGUGAAGCAACUCAAGGACGACACCUUCAUCUCUCAAACGAAGUACACGCAAGAUCUGCUGAAGCGGUUUGGGAUGAAGGAUGCCAAGCCCGCAAAGACUCCGAUGGGGACCGACGGACACACCGACCUCAACAAAGGAGGUAAGUCCGUUGAUCAAAAGGCAUACUGGUCAAUGAUAGGGUCAUUACUUUACUUAUGUGCUAGUAGACCGGAUAUUAUGCUUAGCGUAUGCAUGUGUGCUAGAUUUCAAUCCGAUCCUAAGGAAUGUCACUUAGUGGCAGUGAAGCGAAUCCUUAGAUAUUUAGCUGCUACGCCUUGCUUCGGGCUCUGGUAUCCAAAGGGGUCUACCUUUGACUUGAUUGGAUAUUCAGACUCCGACUAUGCUGGAUGUAAGGUCGAUAGGAAGAGUACAUCGGGGACGUGCCAAUUCUUAGGAAGGUCCCUGGUGUCAUGGAACUCUAAGAAACAAACCUCUGUUGCCCUAUCCACCACUGAGGCCGAGUAUGUUGCCGCAGGACAGUGUUGCGCGCAACUACUUUGGAUGAGGCAAACCCUCAGGGACUUUGGCUACAAUCUGAGCAAAGUCCCACUCCUAUGUGAUAAUGAGAGUGCUAUCCGCAUGGCGGAAAAUCCUGUUGAGCACAGCCGCACAAAGCACAUAGACAUCCGGCAUCACUUUCUGAGAGACCACCAGCAAAAGGGAGAUAUCGAAGUGUUUCAUGUUAGCACCGAGAACCAGCUAGCCGAUAUCUUUACCAAGCCUCUAGAUGAGAAGACCUUUUGCAGGCUGCGUAGUGAGUUAAAUGUCUUAGAUUCGCGGAACUUGGAUUGAAUUGUAGCAUACAUGUGUUUAUGCCUUUGAUCAUGUUCAUUCUGCAUUUUUUUGCUUACUGUGGUGCUCAAGUUGUACAAACACUCCCUGGACCUCACAAGUCUGUUGCAAAGUGAUGCACAUGUUUAGGGGGAGAUGUGUUACAACUUGAACCUUUGAGACUAACCACGUGGGUGAGUUUGCUUGGUUUAGUCUCGAAGGAGAAUUGAAAGGGAAAAGGUGGACUUGGACCAUGAAAGACUUCCACUGCACUCCGAUGAGAGGGUAACUUAUUCCAAGUUCAUCUCAUGAAUUCUUAUUGCCAUUUGCUCUUAAUUGAAGAUUUUGGUGAGGCAAUGGGGUUAAAGGGCCAAGAUUGAUCCCGUUUUGGUGUUUGAUGCCAAAGGGGGAGAAAAUAAAGGCCAAAGCAAUAAAUGGAUCAGCUACCACUUGAGAGAUUUGAAAAUAGUAGAGUAGAGCUUUUGGUUUGUCAAAACUCUUUUAUUGUCUCUUUUGUCAAAAGUUGGCUUCUUGUGGGGAGAAGUAGUGAUUAUGGAAAAAAGGGGGAGUUUUUGAAAUCUUUGAUCAAUCUCUUUUGGAAUGACUCUCUUUAUGCUUCAACAUGUGUGUUUGACUUAGAGAUAGAGAUUUGAGUUUGAUUUGCAAAAACAAACCAAGUGGUGGCAAAGGAUGAUCCAUAUAUGCCAAAAAUGAAUCAAAAUAAAUUUGAGUUUUAUUUGAAGUGAUAUUGCACUUGUUCUAGUUGCUUUAUGUUGUGUUGGCAUAAAUCACCAAAAAGGGGGAGAUUGAAAGGGAAAUGUGCCCUUGGGCCAUUUCUAAGUAUUUUGGUGAUUGAGUGCCAACACAAGUGCUUAAAUGUGAAUUUAUGCCCAUGGAUGAACAAAGUGCAAAUCAUGAGUAAAGGUAUGUUUCUAAGCCUUAGUACAUUGGUUUUGUGUACUAAUAUACUUGUCUAAGUGUUAGAAACAGAAAGAAGAAGAAAAGAAAAGAGGUGCAAAAAGCUUGGCUGUGUACAGCCAAGACUCAGCUCUGUCUGGCACACCGGACUGUCCGGUGGUGCUCCGGACAGUGUCCGGUGCGCCAGGCUGACUCGGCGUGAAGUGGCCGCUCUCGGGAAUUCGCCGACGGCGUACGGCUAAAAUUCACCGGACUGUCCGGUGUGCACCGGACUGUCCGGUGAGCCAACGGUCGGCCGAGCCAACGGUCGGCAGCGGAAUCUGCGCGCGACACGUGGCCGGGCCAACGGUCGGAAGGGGGCACCGGACUGUCCGGUGUGCACCGGACAUGUCCGGUGCGCCAACGGCUCCCAGAUCUGCAACGGUCGGCUGCGCCAUUUUAGGAAGGAGAUCGGGCACCGGACAGUGUCUGGUGUGCACCGGACUGUCCGGUGCACCCGACGACAGAAGGCAAGAUUGGCCUUCCAGAUUUGCUCUCAACGGCUCCUAGCUGCCUUGGGGCUAUAAAAGGGACCCCUAGGCGCAUGGAGAAGAUAUCCAAGCAACCUUAGAGCAUUCUUGAUCAUCCACACUCAGUCUUUGCGCAUUCAUUUGUCAUUCUCAGUGAUUCGAGCUCCGUUCUAGUGAGAACUUUGAGAUAGUCCUUUGAGCUCGAUUCUUGGCCGUGUGUGUGCGCAUUUGGCUGUGGAUUUGUGUGUGUUGCUUCCCUUCCUUACUCUGUAUUUCUUUGUGAAUCUCAAGUGUAAGGGCGAGAGGCUCCAAGUUGUGGAGAUUCCUCGCAAACGGGAAAAGAUUAAAGUAAAGAAGAACAUCGUGGUAUUCAAGUUGAUCAUUGGAUCACUUGAGAGGAGUUGAGUGCAACUCUCGUCCGUUGGGACGCCACAACGUGGAGUAGGCAAGUUUUGUACUUGGCCGAACCACGGGAUAACCACCGUGCCAUCUCUGUGAUUGAUUUCUUGUGGUUAUUGUGUUUUGACUCCUCUCUAGCCACUUGGCAAUUAUUGUGCUAACGAUUAACCAAGUUUUUGUGGCUUAAGUUUUCAAGUUUCACAGGAUCACCUAUUCACCCCCCCCUCUAGGUGCUCUCAGGCUGUCGAACCCUUCUGAGGGGCCAGCCUUCGAACCCCUGAUCAGUAGUGGGCGCAGAGCCCGAUUGCUCUGGGGCGGCUGUCGAACCCUUCCGAGGGGCUAGCCUUCGAACCCCUGAUCAGUAAUGGGCUUGGAGCCUGAGUGCUCUGGGGCGGCUGCCGAACCCUUCCGAGGGGCCAGCCUUCGAACCCCUGAUCAGUAGGAGGGCUCGGGGCCCACUUCCUUCGCGAAGAAGGAUCCCUUUCGAAGUAUCCCCUUUCCUGGUCCCUGUUAGCAAGAGAGAGAAAUGGGAAGAGGAAAAGGAUAUGAAUUUAAAUGGCGUGGUGCACCUUUUUUGACGCGGUCAUCAUGACAGAGGUGAAACGACGCCCGCUUCGCCUGCCAAAGGUGUCGCUUGCCCCGCCGAGGAGUUAAUGCGACGGGACGGGCGAUUCGCGGGGCGGCCGUUGCGUGUGCUCGAGCCAUUCGAGGAACGGAGCACGGGCACGUCAUCUUCGUGACGUGGGAGAGGGCUCUCCUGUCGCUUCAGGAGGGGACACGAGCUUGCAGGCGAUUUGACCGCUGCUUCUGCUCGUCUGCUGCUGCAAUUACUGUCGGCCCACUUUUGGCCAUAUCGACUGUCGUGCCUCCCCUCGUGGCUGACCGACCAGUGAUCGUUGUGCUCGAUUGGCACUGUUGGGUCAUGCGCAGGGCUGCCUCGAGUCGCGGCACUGGUUCCGCAGUCGAGAAGACGCGGCAUUGGUGCGAGUGGCGGUGCGGUUUCCUUGCACGCAGUAACCGUUGCGCCGGUUGCAUGACAUGCGGGCCUGGGCCUUCACGCUGACCCACCAGAUGCGAUGAAGCCAAAAGGGUGCACAACCGUGGUGCGGUCGCAUGCCUCCUGCAUGGCGAUCUGCCCUUUCGCCCGCUGGUUUCGGCGAGAAUGGGGGAACGCUUAUAACCGCGGGGCGGUUACCUGCUUCGCAUGAAGUGGUUUGGCUUCUUUCGUUUCUGGUCAGCCCGCAUGACGUGUGGGAUCCAGCCCCCGCGCCGGAGGGUGGGAACCCUGGAGCUCGUCGGUGGAGACUUUGCUCUUGACGCUUGGAAUGCAAGUGGGGAGAGCCGCCUUUAAAAAGGGAUCGAUCCCCCGGGAAGUAGACAUGCCUCCGCACUCCCCUCAUGCAUUGCGCCCUUCCACCUUCCGAGCCCCCGGAUGGGGUGCACCCGUGUUGCCUUCGUCUUGUUGCUGUUGGAGGAGCGCGACCCCGCGGGGGUUGGUGCUCUUUAUUCAUCGCUCGGCUUCAAGGAUUUUCAUCAUGUAGCCCGACUGCAUUCCCUCACCAAUGGUCAUCCGUAGGGAUGAUCACCAGCCUUGUGGUGGGGAGAAGCAAGCCGGGCUGCGGCCUCUGCCCCGCCCUCAGCUUCAAGGAUGUUCAUCAUCCUUGCUGUGGCGGAGGGCGAGCUGAGCUGGGGUUCUACCUCCCGCAUGGGCCGGUAGGCCGCCUCUUCCUUCAGCAUUCAGAGGAGAGGGCGCUCACCAGCCUUGUGGAGGGGGCGAACUUCGACAACGCGGGACCGGUCGGCCGCAAGCGUUGUCACCUCCAUCAUGCCUGGCUCGUUGGCUCAGCUGGCUCUAUCGCGGCCUCCGACACUGCCUCCUGUCGCUUGAUCCGGGCGUGGUCGUCCGUCCACCGCACGGGCGACUGUUGCGCCGUGCGCACCGGGGGAUCGUCCAAGACGUCGUACACCGCAUGGGCGGCGUUCGUGUUCUUGGAUUGUCUUGUCCUCACUCCGGCACGACGCCUCCGCGUGGAGGUCAGUGCCUGCCCGUCCGUGAGGACUUGAGUGGGGAUCUGCCGGUGCAGGCUAGGGCGGCCGCCAUUCGUUAGCGUAGCGCUGGCACGCAGGUGGCCGCUAUCGUCGGUGCUGAGGUGGUGGUCGCUAGAGGAGGUUUCUCCACCGACGAGACCAUUGGCGCCACUCGCGGUCAGACCUCCGGCUCUUUGGCUUUGAUGGCUUGUCCUCGCCCCUCGAGUGGGGACGUGGGCGAGGGCCUUCUUACAGCGGUGUUUGCCCUGAGGUCAUCGCUGCUGCUGUUUAACCGCCCGAGGCUGAGGUCGUUGUCGCUGCUGAUGGAGCGGUCGCCGGCAAGCCACCCGGAGUUUGUUAUCCCGCAGGCCCUCUGGUGUAGAGGUUGUUCAUACCCGUGGGAGUGGAACCGGAGUCCCGUUUGUAAUGGCACCCCGAGUAUGGGUGUUUGUUCAUUGUGGCCGCUGAGGCCUGAACAUUUGGGCAUUUUAGCGUAAUGCCGUGUUUUUUCCUCAUUUUGAGCACUAGGACUUGCUUGUCGGCUAGCGGAACCACUUAACCGAGCGUGAGUUGCCUUGUGUGGAAGGUGACGAGUGAGGUAUCUGUAUCCCGGAGGCGUAGGAGUCCCUCGGCUCGGUCGGCCUUGCCGCUCAAGGCUUCUCUUGCUCAGUUUUAGAACCUUCGGCCGCUCUGCGAUGAGCUGAAGCCGGAGGCAGCGGUGUCGGCAUGGACAGAGGCGGAGUCGGCUCGAAAAGAGGCUUCGUCAGCCCGGGAGCACGUGGCUUCCCUGGCCGAGGAGGUGCAACAGCGGCGGCUGGAGCUUGGCCAGGUCGUCCGCUAGCGGGACCAACCCUGGAGUCACGCUGCCGAGGCCGUGAGUCGGGCUGAGGUCCUUGGGGGACAGCUGGCUGAGGCUACGGAGCGGCUAGCCGAGGCGUCCGCUCGGGCCUGAACCCUUGCGGAGAACCUGGCUGUGAGGGCCCAAGCGCGGUGCUGGCGUCCUCCCUUGGGGUGGAGAUCCUUCCGCCCGUAUCGCCGUCUGAGGCUGGGCCAGGUUCCGCCGAGGGUGGAAACAUCGCCAAGGGUGCUGCUGCUCCCCCUCCCGAUGUCUGAACCUGCAAGAACAGUUUGUCUAUAGUAUGCGUAUGUUUUUUGCGGCCGCUGGGGCCUAAACAUUUUAACGCCGGAUUCUAAAGUUGUGUUUUCUUUCCUCUCGUUUCGUGUGUUAGGACUUGUUUGGUAGCAGAAUCCCUCGUUCGAGCGUGAGUUACUUUUCGCGAAAGGUGAUGAGUGAGGUAUCCAUAUCCCGGAGGCGUAGGAGUCCCUCGGCUCGGUCGGCCUUGCCACUUACGUGUACUCUCGUUGUUUUUAGGGUUCUGCUAUCGAAGCAGUCGAAACGACACGAAAGUCGUUCUGGCAGAAAAGUUUUCAAGCGUUAGGACUUGUUCGGUAGCAGAAUCGCUUAUCCGAGCGUGAGUUACUUAUCGCGGAAGGUGAUGAGUGAGGUAUCCGUAUCCCGGAGGCGUAGGAGUCCCUCGGCUCAGUCGGCCUUGCCGCUUAUGUGUACUCUCGUCGUUUUUAGGACCCCGCUAUCGAAGCAGUCGAAACGGCACGAAAGACGUUCUGGCAAAAGACUUUUCCGAGGAAAAUUUUGACGCAGAGGGGGUUCCCCCCUUCUAGCCCCCGAGGGAGGGUCGGGCUUUGCCGAGGCAAGGCUGAUCCUUCCUUGACGGUUAGACUUUAUUUAUGCAUGUAAAGAAAACGGGGUAUAUGAAUGACUUGAAACAUCUUAAGGGUAGAAGCGACGUAGUUGUUAGAUGUUCCAAGUGUUGCUGAAGCCUCGCCUUGAUCGUUGGCCAGCUUGUAUGUUACAGGCUUCAAAAUCUUGGUGAUGAUGAACGGACCUUCCCAGGGAGGAGUAAGCUUAUGGCACCCUCGGGCGUCUUGUCGCAGUCAAAGUACCAAGUCUCCCACCUGGAAGCCUCGGGGCCGAACCAUUCGGGCGUGGUAGCGUCGUAGAGACUGCUGAUACCGUGCCGAGUGUAGUAAGGCCACGUCCCGAGCUUCUUCGAGCUGGUCUGGUUGCUUCGGUCGUCGUACGCCUUUGUCCUCGGGGAACCGUAUUCUAAUUCUAUUGGUAAGAUGGCCUCGGCCCCAUAGACUAGAAAGAACAGCGAGAAACCCGUGGCUCGGCUCGGCGUCAUCCUCAGACUCCAGACCACCGAGGGUAGCUCUUUCAUCCACCACUUGCCAAACUUGUUGAGGUCGUUGUAGAUCCUCGGUUUAAGUCCCUGCAGAAUCAUACCGUUGGCACGCUCCACCUGCCCAUUCGUCAUGGGGUGAGCUACGGCGGCCCAGUCCACACGGAUGUGGUGGUCCUCGCAGAAGUCCAGGAACUUCUUCCCAGUGAACUGUGUGCCAUUGUCGGUGAUGAUGGAGUUCGGGACCGCCUGCUCGGACCUGAUGCUGGUUAGGGGUCGGACCUCGAUCCACUUGGAGAAUUUGUCGAUGGCGACCAGCAGGUGCGAGAAGCCCCCGGGUGCCUUUUGCAAGGGACCGACGAGGUCCAGACCCCACACGGCAAACGACCAGGUGAUGGGUAUUGUCUGCAGGGCCUGAGUGGGCAGGUGCGUCUGUCUUGCGUAGAAUUGACACCCUCGGCAGCAGCGUACAAUCCUAGUGGCGUCGGCCACCGCGGUCGGCCAGUAGAAGCCUUGUCGGAAAGCGUUUCCGACGAGGGCUCGAGGUGCUGCAUGGUGACCGCAAGCCCCCGAGUGUAUCUCUUGCAACAGCUCUUGUCCUUCGGCGACGGAUAUGCAUCGUUGGAGAAUGCCUGAGGGGCUGCGGUGGUAGAGCUCCUUUUCAUCACCCAGUAAGACGAAUGACUUGGCAAGCCGAGCCAGUCGCCGAGCUUCGGCCUUGUCGAGGGGUAGCUCUCCUCGGUGGAGAUAUUGCAGGUACGGGGUCUGCCAGUUUCGGUUUGGCGCAACCCCAUUCCGCUCUCCCUCGAUGUGCAAGGCCUCGCCCUCGGUGGGCGAGGGUACCUCGGGCUGAGCCGAGGUCUCGUCGGGCUCGGGCGUGUCCUCGAUCUUGACAGAGGGUUGAUGUAUGUCUCUGGAGAAGACGUCCGGGGGAACCGUUGUCCGCCCUGAGGCUAUUUUCGCCAGCUUGUCCGCAGUCUCGUUGUACCGUCGAGCGAUGUGGUUGAGCUCCAGCCCGUAGAACUUGUCUUCCAGGCACCGAACUUCGUCGUAGUAGGCCUCCAUCUUCGGGUCGCGGCAGCGGGAGUUCUUCAUGACUUGGUCGAUGACAAGCUGUGAGUCCCCACGAGCGUCAAGGCGCCGAACCCCUAGCUCGACGGCGAUGCACAGCCCAUUAACCAAAGCCUCGUACUCGGCCACGUUGUUUGAUGCCGGAAAAUGGAUGCGCAGCACGUAGCGCACAUGUUUCCCGAGGGGUGAGAUGAAGAGCAGGUCCGCACCGGCCCCUGUUUUCAUCAGCGACCCAUCGAAGUACAUGGUCCAAAGCUCGGGUUGGAUCGGAGCUGUUGGCAAUAGGGUAUCGACCCAUUCAGCCACGAAGUCCGCCAAGACUUGGGAUUUUAUGGCCUUCCAAGGAGCGAACAAGAUUGUCUCGCCCAUGAGUUCCACUGCCCACUUUGCUAUCCUACCCGAGGCCUCUUGGCACUGGAUGAUCUCCCCCAGGGGGAAGGAUGACACCACAGUCACCGGAUGAGAUUCGAAGUAGUGUCACAAUUUUCACCGCGCCAGAAUUACUACGUAUAGUAGCUUCUGGAUUUGUGGGUAGCAGAUCUUGGUCUCGGAUAGCACCUCACUGAUGAAGUAAACCGGCCUCUGGACGAGCAGUGCAUGCCCUUCUUCUCGUAUCUCGACUACGAUCGCGCGCUGACCACCUGAGUGGUUGCGGCUACAUAGAUCAAGAGGGCUUCUCCCGCAGCGGGGGCACCAAGAUGGGCGCGUUUGUAAGGAGCGCAUUUAAGUUUCUGAGGGCUUCCUCGGCCUCGGGGGUCCAAGUGAAGCGCUCGGCCUUCCUUAAGAGGCGGUACAAGGGUAGGCCUUUUUCGCCGAGGCGCGAGAUGAAGCGGCUCAGAGCCGCAAGGCAUCCCAUGACCCUUUGUACUCCUUUAAAAUCUUUGAUAGGCCCCAUGUUGGUGAUGGUCGCGAUUUUCUCCAGGUUGGCCUCGAUGCGCCGCUCGGAGACGAUGAACCCCAGGAGCAUGCCUCGGGGGACUCCGAAGACACACUUCUCGGGAUUGAGUUUCACGCCUUUCACUCUCAGACACUUGAAUGUCGUUUCAAGGUCGGAGAGGAGGUCGGAGGCUUUCCUCGUCUUGACAACGAUGUCAUCGAGGUAUGCCUCGACCGUUCGGCCGAUGUGCUCUCCGAACACGUAGUUCAUGCACCUUUGGUAUGUUGCACCUGCAUUCCUCAAGCCAAAUGGCAUAGUAGUAUAAUAGUACAUGCCAAAAGGUGUGAUGAAAGAAGUCGCGAGCUGGUCGGACUCUUUCAUCUUGAUCUGGUGAUAACCUGAACAGGCGUCGAGGAAUGACAGGGUUUCGCACCCAGCAGUGGAGUCCACAAUUUGAUCGAUGCGAGGCAGAGGGUAGGGAACCUUUGGACAUGCUUUGUUUAGACCAGUGUAGUCUACGCACAUCCUCCAUUUCCCGCCUUUAUUUUUUACAAGCACAGGGUUAGCUAACCAUUCGGGAUGGAAUACCUAUUUGAUGAACCCUGCAGCUAUCAUCUUGUGGAUCUCCUCGCCUAUGGCUCUGUGCUUUUCUUCUUCGAAACGGCGCAGAGGCUGCUUCACGGGUCGGGCACCGGCUCGGAUAUCCAGUGAGUGCUCGGCGACAUUCCUCGGUAUGCCGGGCAUGUCCGAGGGACUCCACACAAAAACUUCAGCGUUUGCGCGGAGAAAGUCGACGAGCACUGCUUCCUAUUUGGGGUCGAGCUCGGAGUCGAUCUGGACUUGCUUGCAGGCGUCUUUGCUGGGGUCGAGGGUGACGGACUUAACCACCUCAGCCGGUUCGAAGAUGCCGACGUGGCGCUUCGCAUCAGGCACCUCCUUGGAGAGGCACUCUAGGUCGGCGAUGAGGGCCUCGGACUCGGCGAGGGCCUCAGCGUACUCCACGCACUCCAUGUCGCAUUCGUACACGUGUCGGUAUGUGGAUCCGAUGGUGAUGACCCCGUUGGGGCCUGGCAUCUUGAGCUUGAGGUACGUGUAGUUGGGGACGGCCAUGAACUUGGCGUAGCACGGUCUCCCCAGCACUGCGUGGUAGGUCCCUCGGAACCCGACCACCUCGAACGUGAGGGUUUCCCUGCGGAAGUUGGAGGGAGUUCCGAAGCAGACGGGCAAAUCGAGUUGUCCAAUGGGGAGGAUGCGCUUUCCGGGGACGAUCCCGUGAAAGGGCGCCGCACCGGCCCAGAUUGUGGACAGAUCGAUCUCCAAAAGCCCGAGGGUCUCGGCGUAGAUGAUGUUGAGGCUGCUGCCUCCGUCCAUGAGGACCUUGGUGAGCCUUGCGUUGCCGAUGACAGGAUCGACAACAAGCGGGUACCUUCCUAGGCUCGGCACGCAGUCGGGGUGGUCGCCUUGGUCGAAGGUGAUGGGCUUGUCGGACCAGUCUAGGUAGACUGGCGCCGCCACCUUUACCGAGCAGACCUCCCGGCGUUCUUGCUUGCGGUGCCGGGCUGAGGCGUUCGCCACUUGCCCACCGUAGAUCAUGAAGCAGCCGUGGACCUCGGGGAACUCCUCUUCCUUGUCGCCCUCUUUCUUUUUGUUGUCUUGGCCUUUGCCAUCUCCCGCCGGGGGCCCGGCCUUAUGGAAGUAGCGCCGAAGCAUGACGCAUUCCUCAAGGGUGUGCUUGAUGGGACCCUAGUGGUAGGGGCACGACUCCUUGAGCAUCUUAUCGAACAGGUUGGCCCCUCCGGGAGGCUUCCGAGGGUUCCUGUGUUCGACAGCAGCGACGAGAUCCGCGUCAGUGGCGUCGCACUUUGCUUGCGCCUUCUUCUUGGCCUUCUUCUUUGUGCCACGCUAGGCGGACGCCUCGGGGACAUCUUCCUGCUGCCGUCCCUGAGGCUGCUGUCCUUCCGGAAGAUGGCUUCGACCGCCUCCUGGCCAGAGGCGAACUUGGUGGCGAUGUCCAUCAACUCGCUCGCCUUGGUGGGAGUCUUGCGCCCGAGUUUUCUCACCAGGUCUCGGCACGUGGUGCCAGCGAGGAACGCCCCGAUGACAUCCGAGUCGGUGAUGUUGGGCAGCUCGGUGCGCUGCUUUGAAAACCGUCAGAUGUACUCUCGCAGGGAUUUCCCUGGCUGCUGGCGGCAGCUUCGGAGAUCCCAGGAGUUCCUAGGGCGCAUGUACGUGCCCUGGAAAUUUCUAGCGAAAGCCUUGACCAGGUCGUCCCAGUUGGAGAUCUGUGCGGGAGGCAGAUGCUCCAGCUAGGCCCGGGCAGCAUCGGAGAGGAACAGGGGGAGGUCGCGAAUGAUGAGGUUGUCGUCGUCUGUCCCUCCCAGCUAGCAGGCCAACCGGUAGUUCGCAAGCCACAACUCCGGCCUCGUCUCCCCCGAAUACUUGGUGAUGGUAGUCGAGGCCCGGAACCGAGCAGGGAACGGUGCUGUCGGGGACCAUAAUUAGGGGUACCCUCAAGACGCCUAAUUCUCAGCUGGUAACCCCCAUCAGCAUAAAGCUGCAGAGGCCUGAUGGGUGCGAUUAAGUUAGGGAUCAGUCCAUACGAGUGACUCGAUCACGCUUCGCCCGAGCCUAGCCUCGGACAAGAGCAGCCGACCUCGAGGGACUUCCGUCUCGCCCGAGGCCCCCCUUUUAACGGCGGACACAUCUCCGGCUCGCCCGAGGCCUUGGCUUCGCUAGGAAGCAACCCUGACUAAAUCGCCGCACCGACUGACCGAGUUGCAGGAGCAUUUAACGCAAAGGUGGUCUGACACCUUUAUCCUGACGCGCGCCCCCCAGCAGAGCCGAAGUGACCGCCGUCACUCCGCCGCUCCACUGACCGGUCAGACAGAAGGACAGCGCCGCCUGCGCCACUCCGACUGCAGUGCCACUCGACAGAGUGAGUCUGACAGGCAGUCAGGCCUUGCCAAAGGCGCCAUAGGAAACUCCGCUCCGCCCGACCCUAGGGCUCGGACUCGGGCUAAGACCCGGGAGACGGCGAACUCCGCUCCGCCCGACCCCAGGGCUCGGACUCGGGCUAAGACCCGGAAGACGGCGAACUCCGCUCCGCCCGACCCCAGGGCUCGGACUCGGGCUAAGACCCGGAAGACGGCGAACUCCGCUCCGCCCGACCCCAGGGCUCGGACUCGGGCUAAGGCCCGGAAGACGGCGAACUCCGCUCCGCCCGACCCAGGGCUCGGACUCGGGCUCAGCCCCAGAAGACGACGAACUCCGCUUCGCCCGACCCCAGGGCUCGGACUCCGCCCUGGCCUCUGCCGAACGAUCUCCGCCUCGCCCGACCCGGGGGCUCGGGCUCGGCCUCGGCCACGGAAGACAGACUCGACCUCGGCUUCGGAGGAGCCCCCACGUCGCCCGACCUAGGGCACAGGCCCGCCACGUCAACAGGAAACGCCAUCAUCAUCCUACCCCGAGCCGACUCGGGUCACGGAGAACAAGACCGGUGUCCCAUCUGGCUAGCUCCGCCAGAUGGGCAAUGAUGGCGCCCCACAAGCCCUGUGACGACGGUGGCUCUCAGCUCUCUUACGGAAGCAGGGUGACGUCAGCAAGGACUCGACCGCUCCAACAGCUGUCCCUCCGCCAGGCUCCGUUGCUCCUCCGACAGCCACGACAUCACGCCAGCAGGGUGCCAAGAUCUCUCCGGCUGCCACAUUGGCAUGUACUUAGGGCGCUAGCUCUCCCUCCGCUAGACACGUAGCACUCUGCUACACCCCCAUUGUACACCUGGAUCCUCUCCUUACGCCUAUAAAAGGAAGGACCAGGGCCUUCUUAGAGAAGGUUGGCCGCGCGGGGACGAGGACGGGACAGGCGCUCUCUUGGGGCCGCUCGCUUCCCUCACCCGCGUGGACGCUUGUAACCCCCUACUGCAAGCGCACCCGACCUGGGCGCGGGACGAACACGAAGGCCGCGGGAUCUCCACCUCUCUCACGCCCGUCUCCGGCCACCUCGCUUCUCCCCCCUUCGCGCUCGCCCACGCGCUCGACCCAUCUGGGCUGGGGCACGCGGCACACUCACUCGUCGGCUCGGGGACCCCCCGGUCUCGAAACGCCGACAGUUGGCGCGCUAGGUAGGGGCCUGCUGCGUGCUGAUGAACAGCUUCCCGUCAAGCUCCAGAUGGGCAGUCUCCAGCAACCUCUCCGGCCCGGGACGGUGCUCCGUUUCGGGAGUCUUGAGUUCAAGUCCUUCGACGGCAGCUACGACAUGAUACUUCUUCCACCGCCGCGCGACAACGACAAUGGCGGCCGACAUCCCGCCCGCCGGCGGUGGAACCGACGACAUCUCCCCCGCGCGGUGGAAGAACAACAUUCGAGCUCGCCCCGUCCUCUCCCCCGCCAACGGAGGAGGAGGCGGGGCAACCAAGGCCAAGCGGGAGGACGCGCUUCGUCGGCUGUCGAGCGGAUCGACAUCCCCAGCGCCCCGACGGAAGGCACGCCGGGCGUCAACCUCGCGUUCGAGACGAAGGCGAGCGCCGUCCCCCCGCGACACGCCAACCCCGAGCAAGUGGACGACGCCGGCGCACUCGCGGAGAGCUUGCAGGACGUCGCCCUCGUACCUGAGAUGACGGUGCAACCAGUCCCCGAUGUGACUACGUCGCUCCGCGUCGACCAAAAGGUACUGACUAAUUCCCAUCCUACGUCUUUUCGACUCGGCCUCAACCCGCCAAGCGACCUCGCUUUGGCGGGCGCUCUCAUUGAGGCGAGUGCAACCCCACUGGGGUUUCGUAUGCGGUCGCCUUGGGACCGAUUGACGGACGUCUCGACCUACGGGCCCUCUGGGUCCGAGGAAGAUGACGAUCCCAGCAUCUGUUGGGAUUUCUCUGGAUUUGGCAACCCUAGUGCCAUGCAGGACUUCAUGACCGCAUGUGACUACUGCCUCUCCGACUGUUCCGAUGGAAGCCGCAGCCUUGACGACGAGGACUGCGGCCCAAGCCACGAAUGUUUCCACGUCGAGCUAGGGGAUCCCUCCGAAGGCAACCAUCUUGGCAUGCCGGAGGAUGGUGAUUUUCCUAGGCCGGUGCCUCGCGCUGACAUCCCGCGGGAGCUAGCUGUGGUCCCCGUUCCAGCGGGGGGUCACGACCCACAGCUCGAGCAAGUCCGCGGGGCGCAGGCCAGGCUCGACGAGGGAACAGGAGCGCUUGAGACGAUCCACCGGGACGUCGGGCAGGUAUGGGCGGGCCAACCCCCGGCCGGAGAAAUACGUCACCUGCCCCAGGGUCUCCAGCACCGCGUCGCCAACGAUGUCAGGGUCAGGCCGCCGCCCGCAUCCAGCGGGGUUGGUCAGAACCUGGCAGCCGCAGCGAUGCUCCUCCGCGCGAUGCCGGAGCCAUCAACCACCGAGGGUCGGCGAAUCCAGGGAGAGCUCAAGAAUCUCCUGGAAGGCGCUGCGGCCCGACGAGCCGAAAGCACUGCCUCCCGAAGGCAGGGAUACCCCUCGGAACCUCACGCCGCGACUUCCCGAUUCAUGCGGGAAGCCUCGGUCUAGACCGGGCGCACGCGCAACACCGCGCCUGCGGCCCCGGGCCACCUCGGCAACGAGCACCACCGUCGCGACCGUCGGGCCCACCUCGACGAAAGGGUGCGCCGAGGCUACCACCCCAGGCGUGGGGGGCGCUACGACAGCGGGGAGGAUCGGAGUCCCUCGCCCGAACCACCCGGUCCGCAGGCCUUCAGUCGGGCCAUCCGACGGGCGCCGUUCCCGACCCGGUUCCGACCCCCGACUACUAUCAUGAAGUACUCGGGGGAAACGAGACCGGAACUGUGGCUCGCGGACUACCGCCUGGCCUGCCAACUGGGAGGAACGGAUGACGACAACCUCAUCAUCCGCAACCUUCCCCUGUUCCUCUCCGACACUGCUCGCGCCUGGUUGGAGCACCUGCCUCCGGGACAGAUCUCCAACUGGGACGACUUGGUCCAAGCCUUCGCCGGCAAUUUCCAGGGCACGUACGUGCGCCCCGGGAAUUCCUGGGACCUCCGGAGCUGCCAGCAACAGCCGGGAGAGUCUCUCCGGGACUACAUCCGGCGAUUCUCGAAGCAGCGCACCGAGCUGCCCAACAUCACCGACUCGGAUGUCAUCGGCGCGUUCCUCGCCGGCACCACCUGCCGCGACCUGGUGAGUAAGUUGGGUCGCAAGACCCCCACCAGGGCGAGCGAGCUGAUGGACAUCGCCACCAAGUUCGCCUCUGGCCAGGAGGCGGUUGAGGCUAUCUUCCGAAAGGACAAGCAGCCCCAGGGCCGCCCAUCGGAAGAGGCACCCGAGGCGUCUACUCCGCGCGGCGCCAAGAAGAAAGGCAAGAAGAAGUCGCAAUCGAAACGCGACGCCGCCGACGCGGACCUUGUCGCCGCCGCCGAGUACAAGAACCCUCGGAAGCCCCCAGAGGUGCUAACCUCUUCGACAAGAUGCUCAAGGAGCCGUGCCCCUACCAUCAGGGGCCCGUCAAGCACACUCUCGAGGAGUGCGUCAUGCUUCGACGCCACUUCCACAGGGCCGGGCCACCCACAGAGGGUGGCAGGGCCCGUGACGACGACAAGAGGGAAGAUCACCAAGCAGGAGAGUACCCCGAGGUCCGCGACUGCUUCAUGAUCUACGGUGGGCAUGCGGCGAAUGCCUCGGCUCGGCAUCGCAAGCAAGAGCGCCGGGAGGUCUGCUCGGUGAAGGUGGCGGCGCCAGUCUACCUAGACUGGUCCGACAAGCCCAUCACCUUCGACCAGGCCGACCACCCCGACCACGUGCCGAGCCCGGGGAAAUACCCGCUCGUCGUCGAUCCCAUCAUCGGCAACGUCAGGCUCACCAAGGUCCUGAUGGAUGGGGGCAGCUGCCUCAACAUCAUCUACGCCGAGACCCUCAGGCUCCUGCGCAUUGAUCUGUCCUCCGUCCGGGCAGGCGCUGCGCCGUUCCACGGGAUCAUCCCUGGGAAGCGCGUCCAGCCCCUCGGACGACUCGACCUUCCUGUCUGCUUCAGAACGCCCUCCAACUUCCGAAGGGAGACCUUGACGUUCGAGGUGGUCGGGUUCCGAGGAACCUACCACGUGGUACUGGGGAGGCCAUGCUACGCGAAGUUCAUGGCCGUCCCCAACUACACCUACCUGAAGCUCAAGAUGCCGGGCCCCAACGGGGUCAUCACCGUCGGCCCCACGUACAAACACGCGUUCGAAUGCGACGUGGAGUGCGUGGAGUACGCCGAGGCCCUCGCCGAGUCCGAGGCCCUCAUCGCCGACCUGGAGAACCUC
rnacentral:lncRNA from 1 species